rnacentral:lncRNA from 1 species
UGUUUUUUUGUUUUUGCUUCUGUUUAGGAAUAAAUAAUCCAUCUAGCUUCUGUUUGGAUGUGGUUUUAUCUUUUAAUUAGUUUUUGUGCCAAGUAGAACCUAUAGGAUAACCUACGAUGAUAGUUGAUUUGAUUCUGCUGAAAAACAGAAACUUUGCGUGCACGAAUAUAGUUUUGUUAAAUCACAGGAACAUGUUUUUGCGUUGAUUCUUUCUUAUUAUGUUCAAUAAACAAAUUUUACAGGACUUCCUAUUUUUAUAGAAUUUUUAGAGUUCAAGAAGUUUGCGUUAGUUACAGAUUGCUACAGACUGUUCUGUUUUUGACAGAUUCUGUUUUACGUGUGUUGUUUGCUUAUUUUGAUGAAUCUAUGGCUAGUAAAAUAGUUUAUAAUCCAUAGAGAAGUUGGAAUACAGUAGGUUUGACACCAAUAUAAAUAAAGAAUGAGUUCAUUACAGUACCUUGAAGUAGUCUUUUGUUUUCUUUCUCUAACGGAGCUCACGAGAUUUCUGUUGAGUUUUGUGUUGUGAAGUUUUCAAGUUUUGGGUGAAUUCUUUUGAUGGAUUAUGGAACAAGGAGUGGCAAGAGCCUAAGCUUGGGGAUGCCCAUGGCACCCCGAAGAUAAUCCAAGGACACGAAAAAGUCAAUGCUUGGGGAUGCCCCGGAAGGCAUCCCCUCUUUCGUCCACUUCCAUCGGUAAUUUACUUGGAGCUAUAUUUUUAUUCACCACAUGAUAUGUGUUUUGCUUGGAGCGUCUUGUAUUAUUUGUGUAUUUUCUUCUUAGUUUACCACAAUCAUCCUUGCUGUACACACCUUUUGAGAGAGCCAUACAUGAAUUGGAAUUUGUUAGAAUACUCUGUGUGCUUCACUUAUAUCUUUUGAGCUUGAUAGCUUUGCUCAUAGUACUUCACUUAUAUCUUUCAAGCGUUAUAAUUUUUGCUCUAGUACUUCACUUAGAUCUUUUAGAGCACGGUGGUGGAUUUCUUUUAAAGAAACUAUUGAUCUCUCAUGCUUCACUUAGAUUAUUUUGAGAGUUGGUAAUUUGCUUAAUGUUAUUAUACUUGGUAUUCAAGAUAUGUGAAACUUUCUUUUGAGUGAAUUGAAUACUAAGAUAANNNNNNNNNNNNNNNNNNNNNNNNNNNNNNNNNNNNNNNNNNNNNNNNNNNNNNNNNNNNNNNNNNNNNNNNNNNNNNNNNNNNNNNNNNNNNNNNNNNNGACAACUAUUGGCUGAAAUCCAUGCCAGACUGGGCGGGCACCAUGCCACGGCUCGGGCACUUGUCAGCAAGGCCUUCCGUACAGGCUUUUAUUGGCAGAGGACCUUGUCGAACACUGUGUCAGUUGGCAGCUCUUUGCCAAUCAGGGUCAUAUGCCCCCUACCGCUCUCCAAACAAUCCCCAUUCCUUGGCCCUUCACGGUUUGGGGGCUAGAUAUGGUCGGACCCCUUAAAGGGGAAGCCAUAAGAAAAAAUACUUGUUGGUCAUGGUGGACAAGUUCACCAAAUGAUUAGAAGCUAAACCAGUCAAAACAGCCGAAUCCGGACCAGUGAUAGACUUCAUAUCCGGGGUUGUACACCGACACGGCGUCCCCCACAACAUCAUCACUGAUAAUGGCUCAAAUUUCACAGCCGAUGAAGUGAAAACUUGGUGCGGCAACAUGGGCAUCAAGCUCGAUUAUGCCUCCGUCUACCAUCCCCAAACAAACGGCCAGGUCGAAGGUGCAAAUGGUCUCAUCAUGAGCGGCAUCAAACCCAGACUAGUGUGUUCGUUGACAGAAUCGGACACGCACUGGGUCGAGGAGCUCGACUCCGUACUCUGGGGGCUGCGGGCCACGCCGAGAACACCACCGGAUACACAUCAUUUUUAUGGUGUAUGGCACAGAAGCAGUACUACCCUGCGACAUAAUACAUGAUUCACCUCGCGUGCACAUGUACGAAGAGAAGGAAGCCGAGUUAGAUCGGCAGCACAACUUAGAUUCCCUGGAGGGGGAGCGUGACGUCGCAAAAUCACGUUCCGCAUUCUAUCAGCAGCAGGCUUGGUGGUACCAAAGUAGAGAAGUGCGGGCCAAAACUUAUAACAUUGGCGAACUCGUUCUACGCCUACCGGAGAAGAAGAAGGACAAGCUCAAACCUAAGUGGGAGGGCCCCUUCGUUAUUGAUAAAGUUCUCACUGGAGGAGCAUACCGCCUAUGUAAUGCAUCCGAUAACAGACUCAAGCCGAACCCAUGGAAUGCGGCCAGACUCCGGAGAUUCUACGCCUAGCGCCGAACUCAGUGUUCCUCUCCUUACCCCUCCUUUUUAAUUAUGUUCCCUCCUUUUUUAUUUCUCGACCUUUUUCCUUCUUCACACAAAGUACUCAAUAUAGUGAGGACGCUCGGAUCACUCCGGCCGCACUAUGUGUGUAAGCCAUACCUUGGGGCUUCCUAUACGAAAGCUAAAUAUAAUUACUUUAAUGAAUUUUUGCCUAUCACAUAUGCGUUCUUUUUCCAUAUGUUCCUUUUCUUCACCAUUAUAUGCAUCGAUAUGACUUAAGAUGUGGCCAUGCUGGGUUGCCUGGCUCUUGUGUUUAUGCCCUACGUUCCCGUUAAUUCGGCUAGGGCAUAAGGGGAGCACCUCUGCGAUUGUUACUGCCGGUUCAGCCGGAUGUGUACCUCAGACUGGGUGAAGCCGAAAGCUAGCAUUCUUAAGGGAAUAUUCGGUCGGUGAACAAAAGAUGUUCCUUUCGUUUAUUACAACGAGAAUCCCCAGAAGUUUUGUAUCCUGCAUCUCUGUUCGCAGUUCGGACAUGCACAUCGAUGCAUGCGUACCCAGGGAAAGGAACCCCUAAUGGAACUAUUCUCCCUGGAAGAUGUUUGUCACGACCGGUUCUCCGGACAUAAAUUUCCAGAAAUGACCGUCGUGCUCAUCAGCCCCAGGAUUACUGUUAGCUGAUGAGGCUCCAACUUGAUACAGAAAUUCCAAGCAGAAAACAAAAUAUGUAGUACAAGACCAUUCUGGCCUGUGAGUACAACAAAUGGUUUCUAGUGGUUGAUGGCGGAAGCGGGUUGUGAAACAUCAGUGUCUAUGGGACUCCAUUUCCCACGGGAACAGCUGACCAGGUUAACUCCUAUCUUCGCGAGGCUGCUAUCUCCAUUACUUAGGUGCCGGGGCUGUCAUCGCGUCGCUCCUCGUCGUGCAAGAAAAUUUGGCCAAGACAAUAGCCAGGGACAAGCUAGUGAGUACUUUGAAUGUACUCACAAACAUUAUGAACACAGGUAUAAUAUAACAAUGAUGUGCUAAAAAUAUUUUAUGCUCAUGAUGUCAGUCACAAAAGAUAAAUGAAACUCUGAUGCGUGCAAGCAAGUUAUUUAUAAAAAUGCAAUAACAUGGUAGUAUUAAAAUUUAUGAAACAAAUAACAAGCAAUGCCACAGUCGGGCGUCUUAGCGACACCACAUAAAGGGCUUUAAAAGAAAUGCCACAGUCGGGCGUCUGAGCGACACCACAUAAAGGGCUUUAAAAGAAAUGCCACAGUCGGNNNNNNNNNNNNNNNNNNNNNNNNNNNNNNNNNNNNNNNNNNNNNNNNNNNNNNNNNNNNNNNNNNNNNNNNNNNNNNNNNNNNNNNNNNNNNNNNNNNNGGGAGUUUCGCCGCCGCAAGCCUCUAUAGCCACCAAAAACCUCUCAGGAGUCCGUUCCAGCACCCUGCCGGAGGUGGGAUCCCUCACCGGUGGCCAUCUUCAUCAUCCCGGCGCUCUCCAUGAUGAGGAGGGAGUAGUUCACCCUCGGGGCUGAGGUUAUGUACUAGUAGCUAUGUGUUUGAUCUCUCUCUCUCUCUCAUGUUCUCUCUAUGGCACGAUCUUGAUGUAUCGCGAGCUUCGCUAUUAUAGUUGGAUCUUAUGAUGUUUCUCCCCCUCUAGUCUCUUGUGAUGAAUUGAGUUUUCCCUUUGGAGUUAUCUUGUCAGAUUGAGUCUUUAAGGAUUUGAGAACACUUGAUGUAUGUCUUGCUGUGCUUAUCUGUGGUGACAGUGGGAUAUUCACGUGAUCCACUUGAUGUAUGUUUUGGUGAUCAACUUGCAGGUUCCGCCCAUGAACCUAUGCAUAAGGGUUGGCACACGUCUUCGUCUUGACUCUCCCGUAGAAACUUUGGGGCACUCUUUGAAGUACUUUGUGUUGGUUGGAUAGAUGAAUCUGAGAUUGUGUGAUGCAUAUCGUAUAAUCCUGCCCACGGAUACCUAAGGUGACAAUGGAGUAUCUAGGUGCCUUUCGUGUUUUGGUUGAUUUGUGUCUUAAGGUGUUAUUCUAGUACGAACUCUUGAAUAGAUCGAUCCGAAAGAAUAACUUUGAGGUGGUUUCGUACCCUACCAUAAUCUCUUCAUUUGUUCUCCGCUAUUAUUGGCUUUGGAGUGACUCUUUGUUGCAUGUUGAGGGAUUGUUAUAUGAUCUAUCUAUGUUAUUAUUGUUGAGAGAACUUGCACUAGUGAAAGUAUGAACCCUAUGACUUAUUUCCUACCAUUGCAAUACCAUUUGUGCUCACUUUUAUCAUUAGUUACCUUGCUCUUUUUAUAAUUUCAGAUUACAAAUAUCCAUAUCUAUCAUCCAUAUUGCAUUUGUAUCACCAUCUCUUCCCCGAACUAGUGCACCUAUACAAUUUACCAUUGUAUUGGGUGUGUUGGGGACACAAGAGACUCUUUGUUAUUUUGUUGCAUGGUUGCUUGAGAGAGACCAUCUUCAUCCUACGCCUCCCACGGAUUCAUAAACCUUAGGUCAUCCACUUGAGGGAAAUUUGCUACUGUCCUACAAACCUAUGCACUUGCAGGCCCAACAACGUCUACAAGAAGAAGGUUGUGUAGUAGACAUCACUGGCCAGCAGCCCCGCACUGCGCAGUGUUUCUAGAUGGUGCUGGCGACCGCCUGUGUCUUAGCCCUCGACAACGCCGGCUUUGCCUCUUGCAUGAACGAGAUGAUGGUUUGAUCCAUCCGCAAGUUCAUCGCCGUCAAGAAGCGUGCGGACGACCUUGUCGUAUUGCUCCAGCAUGCGCGCCUAGGCUCCUCGUUGCUUGUCACCCUCAUCGGCCUCCAUGGUGACAGACUCCUAGUGGCCAUGCAGCUGCCGGAAGUCGCAACGAAGAAUGAGCACCUGGAGGCCAUGCUCCCCACGCAGUGCCUCGCCAUGCAAGAAACCGUCGACCUACACAUCCAUGUCUGCGAGGAAAUUGUGUACAUAGGCCUCCACAAGGCCAGGGAGGACAGAAAGACGUUGGCCUUCUUCGACCGACUGGAAUCUUUGGACUCCAUUGUUUAGAAGCACACUGACCUGACCACAAAAGCCGCUGCUACUUAGCUGCUGUUCGGUGGGCCGGCUCCCUAAGUGGAGGAGGAGGAGGUCAUAGAUGGAUGCAACUUUCUUCUUGCCUCCUGUAACCGACACUGCAUUGCCUCGUGGCCUUAAUGUUUUAUUAGGUAAGCAAUUUUUAUUCCAGUCGUAAAAUGACAUGUGUGAUCCCUUGCUCUUAUUUGGCAUUAAUUGUAUGUGGUAUCACUGUCUUCGUCCUGGUGUACUACCUAGUUCCUGGUUUAUUAGUAUCUUUUGUAAUUUGUGCUAAGUUUUGACCAAAGAUUUAAUUGAUAAAAUGUUAGUGCAUGUCAACAAAAAUUAUAUCGUUUUAUUUGCAUUUGAACAUAGUUUUCAAUGAUAUAAUUUUGUUGACAUGCAUGAACCUUUUAUUAGUCAAAUUUAUGGUCAAAAUUUGGCAUAGAUUACGAUGGGGAGCAAUAAACCAGGACGGAGGUAGACAGGUCACCAUCAUGUUUUGUGCCAAAUUUUGACUUCUGUGACCCAACCUACAUGGAGGGAGUACUAUAUAUAGUGGCGUGACAACUAAACUUAUAUAUAUAUUCAAAACUCAGCGUUACUACAUGUCACGAGUUCAAAANNNNNNNNNNNNNNNNNNNNNNNNNNNNNNNNNNNNNNNNNNNNNNNNNNNNNNNNNNNNNNNNNNNNNNNNNNNNNNNNNNNNNNNNNNNNNNNNNNNNUGGUUGCUACUUAGAGUUGUUGAUGAUCAAGCUAAUGAGCUCUAAUAUGGAUAAAAGUGAUACUAACAUGUAGAUAGCAGAAAAAUGCUCACAAUUGAUAUAAGGCACAAAAUCAUAGGAUGUACAGAUCAAUAGCAAUAGCCUCCGGAAAACGGCAAAGUGGUGUUUAAAACUGAGGGCUUCUCAGACCUGGCAGAAUUUCAGAGAUUUUCAGAAAACUUCGUAAACCAUAAGAAUUCAAUCGUAGCCCGGAUCGAAAAACUUUCUACAUGAAAGUUGCUCAGAAAAAUGAGAUGCAUUCGAACACACGUUCUGUUUGUCAGUCACACGUCCCUAGCAUAGCAAACGCGCAACAUUUCACCUCCGGCUCAUCUGUUCGAAAACACGAAACACCGGGAAUACUUUCCCGGAUGUUUCCCCCUUCGUCGGUAUCACCUACUACCGCGUUGGGCACACCUAGCACCGCGUAUUGCCAUGUUACGCUUUGUGUUGCUUCGAUUGCUCUAUUAUUUAUUUGUGUCCCCCCCGUUACUUCUUUCCGAUAGACCUCGAGACCGCCGCCAAUACCCCCGUGAUCGACUACAUCGACGAUGACCCCUCCUUCUUGCCAGAGCAACCCGGCAAGCCCCCCCCCUGAUCACUAGAUAUCGCCUAUUCUUUCCUCUACUGCUUGCAUUAGAGUAGUGUAGCAUGUUACUGUUUCGAUUAAUCCUAUUCUGUUGCAUAGCCUGUCAUUGUUGCUACAUCUGUUGAUACCUUACCUGCAAUCCUAAAUGCUUAGUAUAGGAUGCUAGGUCACCAUUAGUGGCCCUACAUUCUUGUCAAUCUGCCAUGCUAUACCAUCGGGCCGUCACCACUCGGGAGGUGAUCACGGGUAUAUACUAUACAUACAUACUAAUCAGGUGGUGACAAAAGUCGGGUCGGCUGGUUGAGUAUCCGCAAGUGAUUUCAAUGUGGGGGCUGGAAGGACAGGUGGCUCCAUCCCGGUAGAGGUGGGCCUGGGUUCCCGACGGCCCCCGACCGUUACUUUGUGGCGGAGCAACAGGGCAGGUUGAGACCACCUAGGCGAGAGGUGGGCCUGGCCCUGGUCGGCGUUCGUGGUUACUUCAUAAUAACACGCUUAACGAGAUCUUGGUAUUUGAUCUGAGUCUGGCCACUGGCCUAUACGCACUAACCAACUACGAGGAAACAGUUAUGGGCACUCGACGUCGCGGUAUCAACCGAAGCCUUCUUGACGUCAGCGACUGAGCGACGUGCGUCGGGUUGGACCGUGUAACACAACUUCCUUUGUAAUGGAGGUUGCUAGGUCUGCUCACCGGCCGCGUUUGCAACGUGCAGGUGUGCAAUGGGCGAUGGCCUAGACCCCUGCGCGCAUAGGAUUUAGACAGCCGUGCUGACCUCUCUAUUGUGCCUAGAUGGGGCUGCGACGUGUUGAUCUUCUGAGGCCGGGCAUGACCCAGGAAAGUGUGUCCGGCCAAAGGGGAUCGAGCGUGUUGGGUUAUGUGGUGCACCCUUGCUGGGAAGUUUAUCUAUUCGAAUAGCCGUGUCCCUCGGUAAAAGGAUGACCUGGAGUUGUACUUUGACCUUAUGACAACUAGAACCGGAUACUUGAUAAAACACACCCAGACAAGUUCCAGAGACAACCCGGUGAUCGCUUUCCCACAGGGCGACGAGGGGAGGAUUGCCGGGUAGGGUUAUGCGAUGCGAUGCUACUUGGAGGACUUCAAUCUACUCUCUUCUACAUGCUGCAAGAUGGAGGCUGCCAAAAGCGUAGUCUUUGAUAGGACUAACUAUCCUCCUCUAAUUCCGACAUUCUGCAGUUCAGUCCACCGAUAUUGCCUCUUUACACAUAUAGCCAUGCAUAUGUAGUGUAGAUCCUUGCCUGCGAGUACUUUGGAUGAGUACUCACGGUUGGUUUGCUCCCUCUUUCCCCCUGUUUCCUCAUCUUCUCGGAUGCCGCAACCAUAUGUUGGAGCCCAGGAUCCAGACGCCACCAUCGACGAUGACUCCUACCUACACUGGAGGUGCCUACUACUACGUGCAGGCCGCUGGCAACGACUAGGAGUAGUUUAGGAGGAUCCCAGGCAGGAGGCAUGCACCUCUUUCGAUCUGUAUCCCAGUUUGUGCUAGCCAUCUUAUGACAACUUGUUUAACUUAUGUCUGUACUCAGAUAUUGUUGCUUCCGCUGACUCGUUCAUGUUCGAGCACUUGUAUUCGAGCCCUCGAGGCCCAUGGCUUGUAAUAUGAUGCUUGUAUGACUUAUUUUAUUUUUAGAGUUGUGUUNNNNNNNNNNNNNNNNNNNNNNNNNNNNNNNNNNNNNNNNNNNNNNNNNNNNNNNNNNNNNNNNNNNNNNNNNNNNNNNNNNNNNNNNNNNNNNNNNNNNAAUGAAUGCACAUUAAGUCGUCAUCAGCCAAGAGCCGCCAGGUAUUUAAACUCCUGAUUUACUUAUCAACAGACGAGGUAUUCAAAGUCACUUUGGCGCAAUGGUUAUUAUUUUAUUAAUGGGUAUGAUUUAUUAUACAAUGGAAGGAAUAGUCCCGAGUCGCUGUAGGCUUACGACCCGGCACUUGGGGGCUACAUUAUUCAAAUUGAGGUUACAUCAAAUAUGCAAGUCUCAUGUCGCUGCAAGCAUGCACCAUGACACUUGGGGGCUAAUGCAAAGUCAUUUUUUGCUCACCUCAUUGAAGACCCGACUCAUCACAUCAUAAUGAGCCGGCCCUUGGGGGCUACCAAUUGCUCCUGUUAAAAAUUCAAGGUACACAAGUUAAUUCCAUUAUAUUGAAGGGUCCAUUGCUCAAUUGCUCCUGUUUAUCAUAUGAUGUUCAAGCCCCGCAGUGAAGGCUACAUCAUAUGAUGUUAUUUUUAAUGAAGUAUAUAUAAAGCCCCGGCUCAGUAUUAUCUUGCUGAGCCGGUCCUUGGGGGUUACACGUUGCUGCUCAAGUUUUUAUAAUCAUAUCUACAAAGUCCCUUCUCAUUAUUACAUAAUGACCCAGCCUUUGAGGGCUACACUGGUGAAAUUUUAUGAGCAUAAGGCAAUUUACAAGUCCCAGGUUGCUGCAAGUAUGACAACCCGGCACUUGGGGGCUACAUAUGUGGAAUAUUCAGUUUAUGACUAAUGAUUGAGAUGAAUAACCCAGAUUUCUUCAAGGUUGCAACACUUCUAUUGAAGCAAGUCUUAAGCUAUCACUAUGUUCUCCUCUUAAGACUUGGGGGCUACAGGUAUUAUGCAUACAAAGGAGGAACAUCUUCAAAUUCUCAGUUUUGAGCAAAUCAAGAAGAUCAAUUACAUGACCCGGUAUCAACAACAAUUAUGACUCGGCAUCAUCAAUCUUUAUAACCCGGAGAUUUUGGAAAUUAUAACUCGGCAAGAUCUACAUCUUUAAGCCGGUUGAAAAUCAGAUGAGUAUUUCAAGACCUAUAUUUUAAGCCGAUGCUUUGGAAGCCGGCUCAAAUGGAUUAUUUCUUAUGAUAUUUCUCUACAAGAGCCAAUGUCAGCAAAUUGGUUAUGAAGCUGGUCCGUUGACCCGGAUUUUUCAGAAGAAGUGCCUGGAUUUUUUGCAUUGGCAAAGUUUGAACAUAUCUGUUAAAGGAGAUUUGCUAUAAGAUCUUGAGCACACAUCCAGGAGGAAAUGACAAGGACUUAAGCAUGAUCAGGUGCCGGUUCAGGAAAAUAUUUAAUCUGGAGCACAACCUAUCAAGUUUGUUCUUGUGUUUAUUUUACAGGAUCAGUUUAACAUGGAUAAAUCCAAAUUAAACUGGGGGCUAAUGUCGGGGAUAUACCCCGCGGUAUGACCCGGCUGGAAGUAUGAUCCGUCCAGACGUGGCGACUCACUAGAGACCCGGCUGGAGCAUGGCGACUCACUGGCAAUCCGCCCGGACAUGGCGGUUUACAUGUAACCCGCUUGGACAUUAUGACUCACUUGAGAACGGGCGGGCGGAUCAGACGGACGACUAGGCCCAAGGCCCAACAGGCCGGCUUAUAAUCUUGUGGGCCGGUUUACGAGGAAAUACACAAGGAGUUUUCCCUUAAGGGGGCAAACUAGGAUUCCACUUGUUAUAGAAUAGUCCAAGUCCUACUAGGACUCCAUAUGUAACCCACCCCUCCAACUUAUAUAAGGAGGGGUAGGGCACCCCAAGAGGGACAUGCAAGGAAGAAGAAACAAUCUCUAUGGUUAGACACAAAUAGCCGGUUUACGGUGACUCCCUCAUGAUCAUAAUGAGACCUAGCCACAAACAGCAUGUAGGGCUAUUACCGGAUGAUGUUUCCCGGGGCCCAAAGCUGUCUAAAUCCUUGUCUUGUGUUGCGUGAUACGUCUCCAACGUAUCUAUAAUUUUUGAUUGCUCCAUGCUACUUUAUCUACUGUUUUGGACUAUAUUGGGCUUUAUUUUCCACUUUUAUAUUAUUUUUGGGACUAACCUAUUCACCGGAGGCCCGGCCCAGAAUUGCUGUUUUUUGCCUAUUUCAGUGUUUCGAAGAAACAAAAUAUCAAACGGAGUCCAAACGGAAUGAAACUUUCGGGAACGUGAUUUUCUCACCGAACGUGAUCCAGGAGACUUGGACCCUACUCCAAGAAGUGCCAGAGGCGGUCACGAGGGUGGAGGGCGCCCCCUGGGCGCGCCCCCUACCUCGUGGGCCCCAUGUUGCUCCANNNNNNNNNNNNNNNNNNNNNNNNNNNNNNNNNNNNNNNNNNNNNNNNNNNNNNNNNNNNNNNNNNNNNNNNNNNNNNNNNNNNNNNNNNNNNNNNNNNNCGAAGCUGGGUCAUGGAUGCCUGUCCCUGUAAGUCUGUGCCACUUUGGGUUUACGACUAGUCAUGUCAGCCCGGGCUCUUUAUCAUAUGGAUGCUAGCGACACUAUCAUAUACGUGAGCCAAAAGGCGCAAACGGUCCCGGGAAAAGGUAAGACGACACCCGUGGGGAUACCGUGCGUGAGGCCGCAAAGUGAUAUGAGGUGUUACCAGCUAGAUCGAUGUGACAUCGAGUCGGGGUCCUGACAGGUUGUCUCCCAACAAGCGCUUUUCUUUAUUGCAUUUCUAGUUAGGCAUGAUGAUUUCAAUGAUGCUCACAUAAAAGAUAAGAAUUGAGACAUAAUGGGAGCAUCAUGAAGCAUUUGACUAACACAUUUAAGUCUAACCCACUUCCUAUGCAUAGGGAUUUUGUAAGCAAACAAUUCAUGGGAGAAAGAAUCGACUAGCAUAGGAAGGCAAAACAAGCAAAACAUCAAGAUUUUAAGCACAUAGAGAGGAAACUUGAUAUUAUUGCAAUUUCUACAAGCAUAUAUUCCUCCCUCAUAAUAAUUUUCAGUACCAUCAUGAAUGAAUUUAACAAUAUAACUAUCACAUAAAUAACUCUUUUCAUGAUGCAUAAGCAUAGAAUUUUUAUUACUCUCCGCAUAAGCAAAUUUCUUCUCAUGAAUAGUAGUGGGAGCAAACUCAACAAAAUAACUAUCAUGUGAGGCAUAAUCAAAUUGAAAAUUAAAAUCAUGAUGACAAGUUUCAUGGUUAUCAUUAUUCUUUAUAGCAUACUUUUCAUCACAAUAAUCAUCAUAGAUAGCAACUUCGUUCUCAUAAUCAAUUGGAACCUCUUCCGAAAUAGUGGAUUCGUCACUAAAUAAAGCCAUGACCUCUCCAAAUCCACUUUCAUAAUUAUCACAAUAAGAUUCAACACACUACAAAAUAGUGGGAUCAUCACUUCCUAAAGUUGACACUCUUUCAACCCCACUUUCGUUAAUAUAAUCAUCAUAAAUAGGAGGCAUGAUUUCAUCAUAAUAAAUAUUCUCAUCAAAACUUGGGGGACUAAAAAUAUGAUAUUCAUCAAACAUACCAUCCCCAAGCUUGUAGAUUUGCAUAUCAUUAGCAUCAUAGAUAUUCAAAGAAUUCAAACUAACAACAUUGCAAUCAUGCUCAUCAUUCAAAGAUUUAGUGCCAAACAUUUUAUAGACUUCUUCUUCUAACACUUGAGCACAAUUUUCCUUUCCAUCAUUCACGAAAGACAUUAAAAAGAUGAAGCAUAUAGGCAAACUCAAUUCCAUUUUUUGUAGUUUCCUUUUAUAGACUAAACUAGUGAUGAAAGAAGAAACUAAAAGAUUCAAUUGCAAGAUCUAAAGAUAUACCUUCAAGCACUAACCUCCCCGGCAUGGCGCCAGAAAAGAGCUUGAUGUCUACUAUGCAACCUUCUUCUUGUACACUGUUGGGCUUCCAAGUGUAGAGGUUUGUAGGACAGUAGCAAAUUUCCCUCAAGUGCAUGACCUAAGGUUUAUCAAUCCGUGGGAGGCAUAGGAUGAAUAUGGUCUCUCUCAAACAACCCUGCAACCAAAUAACAAAGAGUCUCUUGUGUCCCCAACACACCCGAUACAAUGGUAAAUUGUAUAGGUGCACUAGUUCGGCGAAGAGAUGGUGAUGCAAGUGCAAUAUGGAUGGUAGAUAUAUGUUUUUGUAAUCUGAAAAUAUAAAAACAGCAAGGUAACAAGUAAUAAAAGUGCGCAAAAACGGUAUUGCAAUGCUGCGAAAAAGGGCCUAGGGUUCAUACUUUCACUGGUGCAAGUUCUCUCAACAAUGAUAACACAAUUAGAUCAUAUAACAAUCCCUCAAUGUGCAACAAAGAGUCACUCUAAAGUCACUAAUAGCGGAGAACAAACGAAGAGAUUAUUGUAGGGUACGAAAACACCUCAAAGUUAUUCUUUCCGAUCAAUCCAAUGGGCUAUUCCUAUAAGUGUCACAAACAGCCCUAGAGUUCGUAGUGAAAUAACACCUUAAGACACAUAUCAACCAAAACCCUAAUUAAUGUCACCUAGAUACACCAAUGUCACCUCAAAUAUCUGUGGGUUUUAUUAUAUGAUAUGAAUCACACAAUCUCAGAUUCAUCUAUUCAAACCAACACAAAGAACUUCAAAGAGUGUCCCAAAGUUUCUACCGGAGAGUCAAGACGAAAACGUGUGCCAACCCCUAUGGAUAAGUUCACAAGGUCACUGAACCCACAAGUUGAUCACCAAAANNNNNNNNNNNNNNNNNNNNNNNNNNNNNNNNNNNNNNNNNNNNNNNNNNNNNNNNNNNNNNNNNNNNNNNNNNNNNNNNNNNNNNNNNNNNNNNNNNNNGAUCCAAUCACCAAGAAACCAAAGCCCACCCCAGGGCGUGGAACCGUAUUGGAAGAAUGGCUCAAUGGGCCAUGUAAACUCCAUAGUACGCCGGACACUACACCAACCCAUAGCCUUAGGGCAUGUUGGAUACUCCUGCAGGUAGCAAAAAGUGGCGAGGAUCUUCUUGUAAGCCAUAAAGCAGAACAACAUCCCGCCAAAGAACACAAUACGGUACUAAUAGUCUUCGAGACUUUUGCCUCAAACAAUAGGCGCAAGCGAGCUCAUCGAAGCUCCGCUGAAAUCUGCCAGGUGGCAAAAAUAAAUCCGUGGAACGACACUGCUAUAACUUUCAAUGCCAGUGAUGAACCACGAUUCCAGACCGUCCGGGCACCAGCCGCUCUGGUCCUUAGCCCAAUCGUGGACGGCUUUUGGCUCACUAAAGUACUCAUGGACGGAUGAAGCGGAUUAAACUUGAUAUACGAAGAAACACUCAACAAGAUGGAAAUAGAUAAAAGCUGCAUUGAACAAAGCGGCACAACCUUCAGGGGAAUUAUCACUAGUUGGGAAGCGCGGUGUGCGGGAAAAAUCACACUCGAUGUGGUAUUCGGCACCCCGGAGAAUUACAGGUCCGAAGAAAUCACAUUCCAAGUGGCUCCUUUCAGCAGCGGAUACCACACCCUUUUAGGGCGGGACGCAUUUACAAGCUUUCAAGCUAUACCCCAUUACGGGUACAUGAAGCUUAAAAAACCCGGACCCAAUGGAAUCAUCACUCUAGCCAGUGAUCUGGACGUCGCACUUCGCGCCAAAAACAAAACCGCAGCACUAGCCCUGGAAGCAUUAUCCGAAGCCCCAGCAGUUAUGCGGGUGAUUGCAUACGACAUUCCGGCUGACUAUUGUUGGGGAACGUAGCAUGCAAUUUCAAAAAAAAUCCUACGCUCACGCAAGAUCUAUCUAGGAGAUGCAUAGCAAAGAGAGGGGGAGAGUGUGUCCACGUACCCUCUUAGACCGAAAGCGGAAGCGUUUGCCAACGUUGUUGAUUUAGUUGAACUUCUUCUUGUUUCGACCGAUCAAGCACCGAAUGUAUGACACCUUCGAGUUCUGCAUACGUUCAGCUCGAUGAUGUCCCUCAAACUCUUGAUCUAGCAGAGUGUCGAGGAAGUAGAUGAGUUCCGUCAGCACGACGGUGUGGUGACGGUGAUGGUGAAGUUACACGCGCAGGGCUUCGCCUAAGCACUACGAGAAUAUGACCGAAGGCGUAAACUGUGGAGGGGGGCGCCGCACAUGGCUAACAAUUGUUGGUGUGUGUUCUAGGCGCUCCCUCCCCAUGUAUAUAUAGGAGGGAGGGAGAGACACGUAGCCUAGGGCGCGCCCAAGUAGGAGGAAUCCUACUUGGGCCCCUAGUCCAAUUCUCCCCCUCCCCCCUUCCGGAGGGAAGAGGGAAGGAGGAAGGAAAGGGGGAUCCUAAACCCCACCUCCUUCUCCUAUUCCGCCUCCUACCAUAAGGGGGGCGCCACCCCUUGUGGGCUAGUGUGCUCCCUCCUAUGGCCCGUAUGGCCCAUAUCUUCCCCCGGUCGGUUCCGGUAACCCCCCUAAUACUCCGAUAUGUACCCGAUACACCCCGGAACACUUCCGGUGUCCGAAUACUAUCAUCCUAUAUAUCAAUAUUUACCUCCCGGCCAUUUCGAGACUCCUUCUCAUGUUUGUGACCUCAUCCGGGACUCCGAACAACAUUCGGUCACCAAAUCAGAUAACUCAUAUAAUACAAAAUCGUCAUCAAAAAUUAAGCGUGCGGACCCUACGGGUUUGAGAACUAUGUAGACAUGAUCGAGACACCUCUCCGGUCAAUAACCAAUAGCGGAAACUGGAUGCUCAUAUUGGUCCCACAUAUUCUACGAAGAUCUUUAUCGGUCAAACCGUUAUGACACCAUGCGUUAUUCCCUUUGUCCACGGUAUGUUACUUGCCCAAGAUUCGAUCAUCGGUAUCUUCAUACCUAGUUCAAUCUCGUUACUGGCAAGUCUCUUUACUCGUUCCGUAAUGCAUCGUCCUGCAACUAACUCAUUAGUCACUUUGCUUGCAAGGCUUCUUAUGAUGUGCAUUACCGAGAGGGCCCAAAGAUACCUCUCUGAUACUUGGAGUGACAAAUCCUAAUUUCGAUCUAUGCCAACCCAACAAACACCUUCACAGAUACUGCUACGUCUUGAGCUUGCGUUGGUUUUCCUUGAAGAGGAAAGGGUGAUGCAGCAAAGUAGCNNNNNNNNNNNNNNNNNNNNNNNNNNNNNNNNNNNNNNNNNNNNNNNNNNNNNNNNNNNNNNNNNNNNNNNNNNNNNNNNNNNNNNNNNNNNNNNNNNNNAGUGGAGCAAGGUGAGGUCCAUAGAGACCUCCAUCGUCGGGUCCUGUUCCGUCAGCAUGAUAUCACCCUCCUCGUGCACCACCAUCUCUUGCUUUAGGGCCGGGGCAUUAGAAAGUUUUACCAUCACAUAUUCAUACUACUUCAAGGUGCAUCAAAUCAACACAUGCAAGUAUCAAAUGGAAAGUCACGGCAUGCAUGCAUACUUUGUAAUUAAUGCAUCGGUAAACGAAAAUUAUUGAAAUAUAUCAAGUGCAAUGCUUUGAUGUGUCGCGUCAACUCGUACAACAAGGAGAAGCUUGAUUACAAUCCCCUCUCCCUUGCCCAUGAGCGUGCUGGCUUGCAGGACCGGGAGAAGUUUCGCUACACGCUCUCCCUCCCACACGCGAUGGACAGGUAGCAGUUAAUCUGGUGUCAGAUUGCCAGAAGCAUACUAGUAAUACUCCACAGUAGUAGUACCUUCAUUGUUUGACUUCCCAAAGAGGCGAAGAGCCAAGCGCAACCUGAACGCUCAUGUGGCAGUUUCAUGUGCAGGGGAGGUAGUAUCUUAACAUAGUCUAGGAUAGCGUGUAUCGUGCCUCUAAGCUUAAAAUCGUUGGAGUCGGCUCCGUGCUAGGAGGCCGUCUUGAAGCAUUUUUUGAUCAAAAUAAUCUUCUAGCCCGACCUAUCAUCCUGGUAAUUGUAUUUUGCAUGUUGAUCUGGUCGAGAGAGAAAUCUAUAUUUUAAUUUGUGGUGGGGUAAAUGUUAGAGGUUGCAGCAAAUAUUGUACACUACGAGUCUUUUAGCCAAUUUUAGAGUCAAGCAUGUGGGUCCCGUGCUAUGAUGUGUCGCAUCAACUCGUACAACAAGGAGAAGCUUGAUUACUAGUACUCCCUCUCCCUCGUCCAUGCAUGCGGUGGCUCAUAGACGAGGAGAAGCUUUUACAUACUACUCCUACAACAAGCUCUCCCUCCCCACGCGGUGGAUGGACAUGGAGCAGUUGAUUCGAUACUGUAGUAGUAGUAACAUCAUUCUUCAACUUCUCGAAGAGGCAAAGAGCCAACUGCAACCCGAACGUGGCAGUUGCGAACGCUCGUGUGGCAGUCUUAUGUGUAGGGUGGGGUGUGGUGCGGCAGUUUUGUGGCAAUUCUUUUCUAUUGUUGUUUGAGACCAAUAGGUGCAACCGUCAGAUGCAGGUCUUACGGUUACUAUGGCAAAUUCUAAUUAUAGUUAUCUUACGAAAAUCAAAAAACCCCAAAUCAAACCCGACCACUUUUCUUGUUUCUAGACAUGAACAGGGAUCAACCAACAAGAGGCGUGGGCCAUGUAUAUUUUAAUGCCUUGAGACGUACCUAGCACGACAUGCAACGGUCAGGUCAUUACAUGCAAUGAUAUUAAUUAGCAAAUACUCCAUCCGUUCCUAAAUAUUUGUCUUUCUAGAGAUUUGAACAAGUGACUACACCGUAAAUUAGUACAUACGGAGGAAAAUGAGUGGAUCUACACCGUAAAUAUUUAGGAACGGAGGGAGUAAAUAUUAAGUUCUCUCAUUCCUCUCCGCCUUGGUCGCAGUGCACAAUAUUGAGCACUAUUGCUGACUAGUUACUUUUUGACACACAUUUAAGUUGAUAUGGCUUGAAUGCUAACGAAGGAGAGGGUAGCGGUUCCCGAAACGUUAAAACGGUCAAUGAUGCCUCCUCAUUCAAAUAGCAUGCAGAGGGUAGUAAUUGGAGAAGCAGAAUGGAGCCAGCACAAUCAGAAUGCAACACAGUUUGCAUUCUUUAAAGGCGCCCCAGCACUCCAAUUGAUCUACCAAAUCGUACACACCACUGCUCACUCCAAUUCAAGACCCAACACCAAGUCACCAGAAGCCACAAGAACCUAUGGAGGCGAUGGAUGCGAGCGGCAAUUGGCUAUGCCAGAUCAUCCAAGACGCUAGAUGAUACGUCUCCAACGAAGCAUUCAUGCUAUUUUAUGAAGCAUUCAUGCUAUUUUAUUAUCUGUUUUGAAUGUUUAUGGGCUUUAUUAUACACUUUUAUAUUACUUUUGGGACUAACCUAUUAACCGGAGGCCCAACCCAUAUUGUUGUUAUAUUGCCUAUUUCAGUAUUUCAAAGAAAAGGAAUAUCCAACGAAGUCCAAAUGGAAUGAAACCUUCGGGGGCAUGAUUUUUGGAAAGAACGUGGUCCAGGAGACUUGUAGUUGAAGUAAAGGAAGCUUCGAGGUGGCUAUGAGGGUGGGGGGCGCCCCCCCCCCCNNNNNNNNNNNNNNNNNNNNNNNNNNNNNNNNNNNNNNNNNNNNNNNNNNNNNNNNNNNNNNNNNNNNNNNNNNNNNNNNNNNNNNNNNNNNNNNNNNNNCGAUGGAGCGGGGGAGGGUGCGGGGGGUCGGCGGCGGCGGCGGAGUGGGGGAGGGUGCGGGGGGUCGUCGGCAGCGGUGGAGCGGAGGAGGGUGCGGGGGGUCGGCGGCGGGGGUGGAGCAGGGGAGGGUGCCCAUGAAUAUUCAAUAUUUUUUCAAAAAAUGCCCAUGAAAUUUAAAAUAUUCAUGAGUUCAAAAAGUGCCCAUGAAAUACAAUCGAGAAAUGAAGGCUACAAUUUAAAUACAAUCUAUCUUAGCUAGCUAUCUGUUCACAAUCUUCUUGCCCUUAUUUUUCAUAAAUGGAGUUCUUCUCUUGAACAGACGUCCAUUAGGUAGGGUGGUCCUGCUUCUUCUUGUGGUGUAUGCUGAUACUCCAUCAUCGUCGUCAUGUUCCAUCUUCAGUUCGCCGUACUUGUCGAAGUCUUGCUCAUUGGCGAUUCCAUCCAUUCCAAUGAUCUUCCUUUUUCCUCUCCUCACGACAACCCGACUGGGCUUUGGCGGGUCGGUAAUGAAGAAGCAUUGGUCCACUUGGGAAGCCAGUACCCAUGGCUCAUUUUUUGCGGUGAUGUUUGUGCUCGUGGUCUUGGAUUUGGCUUCGGGUAUAACCACGGUGGUGAAAUACCGCUCUUCUUUUAUGACGCUCUUGGCCCAUCUGACACGGAACAUCGGGACCUUCCCUCCAGCGUAGGUCAGCUCCCAGAUCUCCUCGAUCUUUCUGUAAUAUCUGUCCUUGUCAUUACCGGUGUAGGAUUCCAUCGUUACCCCGGAGUUCUGAUAACCAUCACUCUUCAUGUCCUUUCCCUCAGUGUAGAAUGUGUAGCCGUUGAUAUCGUAUGCCUCAUACGUCAUCAAGUUGUGCUCGGUGCCCUGUGACAAGGCAAAUAUGAGUUGUUCUUCCGCGGAAGAAUCCUCAUGUAAAGGGUACGAUAGAAGCUUCUGCUUGAACCAACGCGUGAAACAUGAGUUGUGCUCUUUGAUUAUAUCUCCGUCCAUCCUCUGUUGGCCUCGGUCAUUGUAUGUCUUCUCAAUAAAGGUUUUGUGCUCUACCACCGAAGGAUCGACCACGUCUAUGUGUUGUAGCGCGACUAGGUUUGCUCUUUCAAAGUCGGCGAGUCGACCCUCGAAGUCGACAUGCAUUUCGCGGCGACCCUCACGGUAACCCCAUCCAGCGAGCCUGCCGAGGUGCCUGUUGACGGGCAGACCAACGGGGUUCUCGAUGCCUGGAUAAUUCAUGCAGUAGGAGAUGCACUCUUUGGUCAGCAAGCCCCUGGCUAUGCUUCCCUCUGGACGUGACAUGUUGCGAACGUAUCCUUUGAUGACACCAUUCAUCGUUUUGAACGGCAUCAUGUUGUGCAGGAACGUCGGCCCGACUUGGAUGAUAUCCUCCACGAUAUGGACCAGCAGAUGCACCAUAACGUCAAAGAAUACGGGCGGGAAGUACAUCUCAAGCUCGCAUAGUAUCACCAUGAUCUCUUCCUGUAGCCUUCUGAGUUGCCUCACGCCAACCGACUUUCGAGAGAUGACGUCAAAAAAGCUGCAUAGGCCAAAUAGCAUUUCAGGGACGUGCGCGUCCAUGAUCCCAUGGAUUGCAACUGGAAGUAUCUGCGUCAUCAGCACGUGAUAGUCGUGAGACUUCAUCCCGCUGAACUUCUGCUUCACUGGGUCUAGGUAUCUACUUAUCUUCCCAGCAUAACCGUAAGGAAGUUUUACUCCUACGAGGCAGGUGAAAAACUGAUCGAUCUCCUCCUGACUUAGAGUGAAGCACGCGGGAGGGUAGACAUUUCCGGUCUUCUUGGCCUUUUUGCCUUUGCGACGACUUUCCUGUCCUGCUUCGCCUCAUCCUCAUCAUCAUCAUCAUUAGCAUGAAGCUCCUCCCUGUUGCCCAUUAAUUUCAAGUCUUCCCUUGCUUUCGUCCCAUCUUUGGUCCUCUCUGGCAUGUUGAGCAGGGUACCAAGCAAACUCUCGCACACGUUCUUCGUGAUAUGCAUGACAUCAAGGCUGUGAGGCCCAUGGUGGAUCUUCCAGUACAUCAAGUCCCAGAAAACAGACCUCGUUUUCCAUACCUUCAGCAGCGGCUCUGGCACCUUUCGCUUCUUUCCCGGCUCUGGCACCUUUUGCUUCUUUCCCUGCAGUGGGCAAUCUUUCCAAUUUUUCAACAGCUCGUCUAUUUCCUCGCCGCUCCUCAUACAUGGGCGUCUUCGGGGUUCGGUUUCACCAUCGAAUAGAUNNNNNNNNNNNNNNNNNNNNNNNNNNNNNNNNNNNNNNNNNNNNNNNNNNNNNNNNNNNNNNNNNNNNNNNNNNNNNNNNNNNNNNNNNNNNNNNNNNNNGCGCCGCUCCUCGCUUUCAGCGCCGCCUGCAUGCCCCCUGCCUACUGCCGCUGCCGCUCUAGCCAAGCUCUCCUCGUGCCCUGCAGCCAUGGCGCCCGAGGCCUCCUGUCUCCUCAUCGCCAGAUCCCUGCGCGCCUGCAGUGCGUUUGCCCGAGAGCCCAAGCAGGAGCGCUCGGCUUCGUCCCCUCCUCCCGUGCGCCCCCAUCUCGCGGAGCCAGCCGUGCCUUCUCGCCGGCGACGAGCAGCAGCACCCGAGCCCAUGUGCCGUGCUCCUCCUCUGCCCAUGCGCCCGAGCUCACCUAUUGUCGCGUGCCUCCAACCUCGACUCCUCUGCUCCGGACCUCCUCGCCAUUGACCAGGCAAAACCAGCUAAUCCGGUGCCCCUGCUCCCUUCUCCUCGCCGAUGGCUUGGCCCGCGCUGGGGCACUCGAGCAGCCGCAGACCAAGCCGCCUCCCGCAUGGCAACGCUGACCACCUCUCCGGCAAGGCCCGUUCCCUUUUUCUCCUUCCUCCAAUUCUCCCGCUCUCUAUCUGAUUUGAGUUGCGCCGCCAUUCUUUUGCAGGAGCCACCUUCGCCGCCCUUGCCCGUUCCUGGCCGGAUCCCGCGGCCUGAGCCCCGUCCCCGGCCACCGGUGCCCUCGCCGAAGACCAUCCAAGCCAUGCCCAGCCCCUCAAGCCCCGUUUUGCGGCCUCUGCUUCCGCUACAACGAGCGCUGCCCGCGUUGACUGCCUCCGCAUCGACCGAGCGGCCUCCCCUGCUCGCGUGUGGGCUACGCCCCUCUUCCGGGGCUUGGCCCAGGGUGAGCAGCGCCCGCCCCCUCUCUUGUGCACCUUUCGGGCCAGCCAGAUUCGGCCCGCAUCAUUUUUUUCAUUCUAGACGUUUUAGCUAUUUAUCCAGAAACUGCAUAUUUACAGAUUGCACCCUCAUGUUCAUGCAUUUAAUAACUCACAAAUGGUGCAUCGGAUUAAAAUGUUUCCAACAUGUAAAAUGCUUAGUUUUUCAUCUAGUUUCAUAAUCUGCCACUUUGAUCCAUGUUUAAGGUGUUUAAGUUGUUGUUUGCAUUAAUUUGCUAAAAUACCAUGCUAAAAUGAUUUAUUUCAUAUCUAAAUAACCGUAGCUUGGUUUUAAAUGUUCUUUAUAUGUAAAUGGGGUGGAAAAAUGCCUAGUUUAACAUGGUGCACUUCAUUUUGCUGUUUUACAUCAUUAAAAUUAUGUUUAGGGCAGAACAGUAACAAAACUAAAAUAUGGACAUGAGGAUUUUCCGGAAUUGUUGUUUGUUGUUCCGGCCUCAUUUAAACUUGCCUAAAUAGUUAGUUUACUUAUGAUUCAUCUCUUGCCAUGUUUAACAACAUUUAAUAUUGUUGGGUAAAUAAACGAGAUUAAACUAAAUAUGUCAAUGUGGUAUUUUGUCAAUAUGCAACUCAUUGCAUAUUGAGCUCCACUUAACUUGUAGUAUUGUUUGUUGCACUUUGCCAUGCCAUGCCUCAUUAAACCGGACAUGCAUCAUACUUGAUUGUGCAUCAUUCCAUGAUUAUGCUUGUGCGUUUACCAUGUUGUUUGUUUCUUUCUGGUGUUGCUUCUUAGUUCCGGUAUUGUUGCGAUUGUGAGGAUUCAUUCGACUACUCCCGUUCGUCUUCUUCAUGGAAUCGUUCUUCUUCCUAGCGGGAUUUCAGGCAAGAUGACCGCUACCCUGGAUCUCACUACUAUCAUUGCUAUGCUAGUUGCUUCGUUCUAUGACUAUGCUGCGCUACCUAUCACCUGUUUAUCAAUCCUCCCUAUUUGCCAUGUCAGCUUCUAACCUUUUUCACCCUUCCUAGUAAACCAUUGCUUGGCUAUCUUACCGCUUUGCUCUUCCCUCUUAUAUCGUUGCUAGUUGCAGGUGAAAUUGAAGAUUGCUCCAUGGUGAACAGGAUUAUGUUGGGAUAUCACAAUAUCUCUUAUUUAAUUAAUGCAUCUAUAUACAUGGUAAAGGGUGGAAGACUCGGCCUUAUGCCUGGUGUUUUUUUCCACUCUUGCCGCCCUAGUUUCUGUCAUACCGGUGUUAUGUUCCCGGAUUUUGCGUUCCUUACGCGGUUGGGUGAUUUAUGGGACCCCCUUGACAGUUCGCUUUGAAUAAAACUCCUCCAAUAAGGCCCAACCUUGGUUUUACCAUUUGCCUCACCACCACCUACUUUUCACUUGGGAGUCGCUCUCUCGAGGGUCAUCUUUAUUUUAGCCCCCCNNNNNNNNNNNNNNNNNNNNNNNNNNNNNNNNNNNNNNNNNNNNNNNNNNNNNNNNNNNNNNNNNNNNNNNNNNNNNNNNNNNNNNNNNNNNNNNNNNNNAGGACCAGUUCGGGCCCUUCUUGGGCCAGGACGUGAGCCGCAGUGGGGCUCCGGAUCUGAACUCAGGAGCUGCGGCCCACUUUUUGCCGCGUGGUUCGGUGACAUAGAACCACUGCUGCUGUCACUCCUUAACGGAGUCGUUGAAGGCACCCUUCGGCCAAACGGCCUUGGGCAUCUUUCUCACCAUGGCGCCGCCGCACUCGGCGUGCUCGCCACUCACCACCUUGGGAUUCACAUUGAAAAUCUUUAGCCACAGGCCGAAGUGAGGCGAAAUCCGGAGAAAAGCCACGCACACGACGAUGAACAUCGAGAUAUUGAGGAAGGAAUCGGGGGAAAGAUCAUGAAAAUCAAUCCCAUAAUAAUACAUGACUCCACGGACAAGUGGGUGAAGGGGAAACCCGAUCCCGCGGACAAAACGGGGAAGGAACAUGACUCUUUCGUGAGGCUCCAGAGUAGGGACGACCUGUCCCGCCGGUGGGAUACGGUAGCCGAUCUUCUUGGCCAGAUACCCGGCCUCUCGGAGCCUCUUGAUGUCCUUCUCUUGGACGGUAGAGGCCAUCCAUCUGCCUCCUGCUCCGGAUCCGGACAUCUUUGGAAAAACUCUCUUCGAUGGAAAAGAAGAAUGCCUAGGUGUUAGGGCUCGGACAAAGGGGAAUGGGCUAGCGGAAGGAGAAGGCGUGGGUAAAGAGGAAGAGACCUUAUCUCUUUAUAGAGACGGUAAAAGCUUUUUACGCCUCCCCACUUGCCUGGUGGAACCCGCUCGCUCCCCACUUGUCGCGAUUAGCGGUGUUGUUGGAUUACCCAUACCCGUAUUGAUGAGAAUCCCGUGAUAAGGGGACACGAUCUCUGCUUUGACAAGAUGUGUCAAGGAAACCACCUCACAAUAUGCGCUGUGGCUGGUUGUGGGAAAAUGGUUCGAAUAAUAACCCGACCAAAAUGACAUGUCACGUUGUCUAAAAAGUUGUCAGCAGAUUGCAUUUGUGAAAUGUCAUUCUCUCUAUGACGGUAUGCGAAGAUCAUUUUGCGGAUCCGGGCACGUUUUAAGUGUUCGAUAAUUACGUUGGAGUAUUCGGAGAAGGAACCCGCCUUGCAAUGCCAAAGACAAGACUGCGUGCCGGACUCAUCGUCAUUGAAGCCUGGUUCAGGGCUACUGAGGGAGUCCUGGAUUAGGGGGUAUCCUGACAGCCGGACUAUAUACAUUGUUUGUACUAUUGAAGAGUGAAGAUACAAGACUCAAGACUCCGGCCCAUGUCCGGAUGGGGCUCUCCUUUGCGUGGAAGGCAAGCUUGGCGAUCCAGAUAUUGUAUUUUCCUUCCUUGUAACCGACUCCAUGUAAACCCUAGCCCUCUCCGGUGUCUAUAUAAACCGGAGAGGUUGGUCCUUAGAAGGCCGAUCACAAUUACAAUCAUAAUCAUCAUAGGCUAGCUUCUAGGGUUUAGCCUCUACGAUCUCGUGGUAGAUCUACUCUUGUACUACUCAUAUCAUCAAUAUUAAUCAAGCAGGAAGUAGGGUUUUUCCUCCAUCGAGAGGGCCCAAACCUGGGUAAACAUUGUGUCCCUUGCUUCCUGUUACCAUCAGCCUAAGACGCAUAGAUCGGGACCCCCUACCCGAGAUCCGCCGGUUUUGACACCGACACGGGGUGCUACCCCGAGUGGUUUCAACUUUGUUUACUUCACCGCAUGUCAGAUGGGCCUCUAGUUUACUUAUUUUCACCCACUGCCACACUGGCCAGCACACGAAGAUACAGAACACCAGCUGACAAGGGAGCAUGUGGAUUGGUUGACCGGUCAACUAAACAACAUACGGAGCUAUACGUUGACAUAGUGAGCGUAUAAUCCGUCGGUAUAGAGAGUUCAAGUGAGAGGGGAGGCCCGUGAGAGAUAGCAGAGAGAGAGAAAGAGACACUCCCUCCGUUCUAUAAUGUAGUUCUAACAUUUUUUUUAAGUCAAACUUUUGAAACUUUGAUCAAGUUUAUAAAUAAAUUACAUAUAUCUGCAAUACCAAAGAUAAAUGAUAGUAUGAAGUAAGUACAUGUUGUGAUGAAUCUAAUGAUCGUUCCAGAUGUAAAUGUUUUUAUCCACAUAUACCUGGUCAAACUUUUCUGAGGUUUCACUUUUCAAAACAUCCAUAUGCUUAUGGACAUGACAGAGUCCCUAACUAGACAGAGAGAGAGAGAGAGAGAGUGAAAAAAGUGUGUGUGUGUGUGUGUGUGUGUGNNNNNNNNNNNNNNNNNNNNNNNNNNNNNNNNNNNNNNNNNNNNNNNNNNNNNNNNNNNNNNNNNNNNNNNNNNNNNNNNNNNNNNNNNNNNNNNNNNNNCGGAGAGGCUAAACCCUAGAAGCUAGCCUAUGGUAUGAUUGUUGUUCGUCCUACGGACUAAAACUCUCCGGUUUAUAUAGACACCGGAGAGGGCUAGGGUUACAAAGAGUCAGUUACAAUGGGAGGAGAUCUUCAUAUCGUAUCACCAAGCUUGCCUUCCACGCCAAGGAAAGUCCCAUCCGGACACGGGAUGGAGUCUUCAAUCUUGUAUCUUCAUAAUCCGGGAGUCCGGCCAAAGGUCAUAGUCCGGCCAUCCGGACACCCCCUAAUCCAGGACUCCCUCAGUAGCCCCUGAACCAGGCUUCAAUGACGACGAGUCCAGCGCACAAAUUGUCUUCGGCAUUGCAAGACGGGUUCCUUCUCUGAAUACUCCAUAGAUGAUGUUGAACACAAGGAUAGUGUCCAUCUCUGAAAGAUAAGUUCCACAUGCCACCAUAGAGAGAAUAAUAUUUGCACAAAUCUAAUCUGCUGAUGUAUUCCGUAGCAUGACGUCACGGCCAUGCCUUUAUUCAAAUCAUUUUACUGUUCCACCUCAGCGCGUUUAGCGAGGCGGUUUCCAUGGCACGUCUUGUCAAAGCAGAGAUCGUGUCCCCUUAUUCCAGGAUUCUCAUCAAUACGGGCGUGGGUAACCCAACCGUGCCUUUGGUAUGACUCCCUAAUUGAAAGCGAGUCUGAAACUGUUACGGGGAGGGCUCUUGGUAUUCAACUCCUUUAUAAAGGGACCAAGGCUCGGCUCCCUUCUUCUCAAUCCAAUCGAAUCCGCCCCUUGCUUUGAGUUCCAACACCCAAAGCUCUAGUUUUAGGCGCUUCGGACCCUCGACGAUGUCCGGCUCCGACCUUCAAGGCCGGUGGAUGCCUUCCUCCAUUACGGAAGAAGAUGUGCGAAAACUGAGAGAUGCCAGGUAUCUAACUAGCAAAAUCUCGCAUAGGCUGCCUGCUCAAGGGCAGGCCAUUCCCGCUCCCCAUCCCGGUGAGAGCGUGGUGUUCGCAUCUCACUUCCUUCGGGAGCUAGGCUUCCCGAUUGAUCCCUUCGUGAGGGGGCUUAUGUUUUAUUACGGGCUGGAGUUCCACGACUUAGCUCCAGAGUCCAUCCUCCAAAUCUCAUCAUUCAUUGUCGUGUGUGAGGCCUUCCUCCAUAUCACUCCUCACUUCGGAUUGUGGCUAAAAACCUUGAAGGUGGAACCAAAGAUGAUCGAGGGGCAGCACGCUGAGUGAGGAGGAGCUAUAAUAAGCAAGAUGGACGACGCUCCAAGGCCCGAAGGCUCUUUUCAAGAGGAGUUUGACUUAUGGCAACGGGACUGGUUUUACAUCACAGCCCCCAGGGGCACCACAUGGGUGGCGCCACCUACUUUUCGCUCGGGUCCCCCACCACGGCUAGCGUCAUGGGUUAAUGAAGGACUUAUCUGGGGGCCGCCCAAAGAUGUGCCCUUGCUGCAGGACCGCAUUCGAGAUCUUCUAGAAAGAGAUAUUAAUUUGACCGUAGUGGUGCAAGUCAUGCUGAUUCGCUGCACACUGCCCUGCAAACAUCGACCUCUCCGCCUAUGGGAAUUUAAUCCGGAGGGACCGCGAGUCCUCCAACAUUUCAUGGGUGCGACACCCGUGGAGAUGUACAAAUUGUUCUUCGGAUCACGAGCAAGGUGUCCGGAUUUGUCCGAGGAUGCAGGUCUGAGCUGCAAUCGCCCGGAUGCUAAGGUAAGUAGCCCCGUAUUUGGACACACCAUCCAUAUUUUCAUCACAAAAUUACCCUUAACAAAGUUGUCUUUUGAAUAGGAGUUGAUAGUGAAGGCAAAGCUUAUCAGGUAUCCAGCCCCCCUGCCUGAGACCGCGCCGAAUCCCAUGCUAACCAGGAUGCUGGAGGUCGCUCUUUUGGCGGAAGGCAAAGGGGGGAACCAAGGAGCUACUGCCUCCACGAAGGAGGCUGUUAGGAAGGGAAGAAUCGAAAAUUCCCCCGAUCAGGGAAAGAAAAGGACUGCCUCUGAAGACCCGGAGGUGAUGGCCUCAAAACGGGGGAAGAAAUCUUCACCAGAGGGUUCGGCACCGGAGAACGCCCCGGCCAAAUCGCCCCCUAAAGGGGACCCGCUCUCUCCCGAGACGUAAGUGAAGGGAGGGGUUCCAUAAUAAAUGACACUCCUGUCUUAUUUCUGAGGAAAGUGACCAAAACAUUACCUUGCAGUUCGGAUCUCAACCCUUCUCAGCAGAGCUCAUCUUNNNNNNNNNNNNNNNNNNNNNNNNNNNNNNNNNNNNNNNNNNNNNNNNNNNNNNNNNNNNNNNNNNNNNNNNNNNNNNNNNNNNNNNNNNNNNNNNNNNNGAAGUUCAACAUCUUAAGAACAGAAUUAUCAUCAUGAACUAGAUCGAUUCCUUCAUCAAGGCUACACCCAGGAACUGUAUAAUAUAACUCAUCGCCAUCCUUGAAACCUACGUCUUUAGCCAUGCGAACUAGACGAAAAUAGGAUGUAUGCUCACUGUCACAAUCUCGAAAAAUAGAUACUUCGCCUCCAUCAUAAGUAAGUGGACCUUCCAUUGAAAAAGAACCCCCGUGAUGCAUUUUGAUAUGGAUCAAAUCCCUCUCCAUUCUGUAUAUAUAAGGCAUUUAAACACAUAUUUCAAAUCCAUGGUUAUUACUUAAAGCAUCAUUUUUUUGGCGUCAAUUCCCACUCCCAUGCUGAAUUACUAGGGUCCCCCUGGGAAGAGUUUUACGGGAGUUGGGCCUCCUAACUCCCCUUCCCCUUCCCCUCUUAACUCCCACGUCCCUGAGUCAAUCAAAGGAAAUUAAGUCCCAUGGACCAUAAACUCCCAUUCCCCACGCCCAACUCCCCCCAAACAAACACGAUGUAACUCCCAAGCCAUCCCACUCCCCCUCCCCCACGUUCGCCUCUCCCUCGACCCCCGAUUCAGAUCUGGAUCGGGCCACGACCCCGUUGCCCCACCGCCGCCAACUAGUGCCACCCCGGACUGCCAUCACCGCUCGCACCUCACCGGAGCCACCUCAUCACCGAACGCAUCCCCGACCUCUCCCCCGAUGAGCUCCACCGAGCCUCGCCGACCCAUGUUCGACUACAAUGUUGGUGAGACCCCCAUCCUCUCCUCCUCUGUCCUCGUCCAUGUCAUCUCGUGCACCGCGUCGGUGCCUCGCUUGCUCCGCCAUGGCCCUCGAUCUAUCCCUGUGCCCUCUCCCUAGCUCAUGGUCAGCCGCACCUUGUGUCGAUCGUGGUUGCCCCCCGCUGCUCUGUGCUCCCCGCCUUGACUCAGCACGCGCUCGCUCGCUUCUGGUUACGGUCAUCCCGCGCCCGUCCUCGCUAAUGCGCCUGGCUCUGCUCUGCCGCUGAUGCUCCUCUGUGCCAAGCCCGAUAGCCGACGCUUGCCCUCGGCGCAUGCGCCACCCCGUGCCCGGCUCCCGCGGGAGACCCUGGCUACGACCCCCGCAUCCUUGUGCCGCCUGCACCGUCCGCCUCCUUGUCGUGGCCGCGCCCAGCUUCUGCUCCACCAUGCGCCACCUGCCUGGGCCGCAUCUCGCUCCGCGCCUUACCACGCGGUGAUCGCCGCCACACCAGGUCGCGCGCGAACCGCGCCGCCUCACCAUGGCCACUAGUCCGCCCCGACCGUGUGCCCCUGUCACACCCUAGCUAGUUCAUGCAUUAGAGUGUUGCAUCAUGUCUAUCCUUUCAUCAGAAACUUGAAAUGGGGAUGUCAGAACCCCCAGCCCCCUCUGAAACCAACUAGGGUUUACUAAAAACUUUUUCAAUGAACCUGAAAUGCCCUUCUAAAAUGUCCAUCAUUUUUGUCUUGGUUCAGAACCUCUGCCGAAAGUGUUGCACAAUUUUCUAGGUCAUCUUAGGGUCUUUGAAUUAAAUGAUAAGUAUUUGAAUUUGGGCAUUUAAAAUUAUAUAAAAUAUUUCAAAUGCUCAAAUAUUCCUAAAUUGAAAUGUUUCAUGUUGGAAAUAUUCCAACUUUGGACCAGGAGCAGUUUGGUGAUUUUAGGAGUUGCCUAGGUAUUUUUAAUAAUUCAACAAAGUUGCAGAAAAAUAGAAAAAGAAUAAAAAAACAGAAAGGAAGGACUUACCUGGCGCCUGCAACCCAGCCCACCUGCCGGCCCAGCCCAGCGCCGCGCCAGCGAGCUGCUUGCCGGCCAGGCAGGCAGGCAAGGUGCUCGACGGCGAGCACCGCAUGGGUGCCACGCACUUUCUCGCUGCCUCGCCGCUCCACUCACCCGGCUAACGACGUGGAUCGACCCCUCUCUCUCCCCCGAACCCCCAAGACGCCCCCUCUCCUCUCCAGCUCCUCCCCCUCAUGGUCCCUAGCCAUGGCCGAUGCCACCGCCGCCGUGCCUACACCGUAGACGCGCUCUCCGUCAACCACACGCCGCGCCACCAUGUCCAUGAGCUCCGCCACCCUCCUCUCCUUCGAGCAAGCCGAGCACCGUGUGCUUGUGUGGCCCGAGUCCACCGCACCGACCUCGCCCGAGUUCGCCGUCGCCGGAGAUCCCCUUNNNNNNNNNNNNNNNNNNNNNNNNNNNNNNNNNNNNNNNNNNNNNNNNNNNNNNNNNNNNNNNNNNNNNNNNNNNNNNNNNNNNNNNNNNNNNNNNNNNNGAUUGCGCCAUGGGAACCUGAAGGAUGAGGAGCUGGACAAGGUUGUGCAGGUCUUGCUUGGGAAGGAUCGAUGCUGCCUUUUGGCGGCCCACCUUCCAAUGUACCGCCGCGAUUAUGGGGCGGCACUGGCCGCCUCCGUGCUAAUUUGAAGGAAAUAUGCCCUAGAGGCAAUAAUAAAGUUAUUAUUUAUUUCCUUAAUUCAUGAUGAGUGUUUAUUAUUCAUGCUAGAAUUGUAUUAACCGGAAACUUAGUACAUGUGUGAAUACAUAGACAAUACCUAUAGUCCCUAGUAUGCCUCUACUUGACUAGCUCGUUAGUCCCUAGUAACAUGACUUCCAGAAUAGGAUUACCGUACCACUCUGGUGCGAAUCUUACUCUGGAAGACCUACGAGGUUCGGUAGUAACUUGAUCUGAAGCUUCAUGAUCAUCAUCAUCAACGAGCUAGUCAAGUAGAGGCAUACUAGGGACUAUAGGUUUUGUCUAUGUAUUCACACAUCUACUAAGUUUCCGGUUAAUACGAUUCUAGCAUGAAUAAUAAGCAUUUAUCAUGAAUUAAGGAAAUAAAUAAUAACUUUAUUAUUGCCUCUAGGACAUAUUUCCUUCAGUCUCCCACUUGCACUAGAGUCAAUAAUCAAGAUUACAUAGUAAUGAUUCUAACACCCAUGGAGCUUUGGUGCUGAUCAUGUUUUGCUCGUGGAAGAGGCUUAGUCAACGGGUCUGCAACAUUCAUAUCCGUGUGUAUCUUGCAAAUCUCUAUGUCCCCUUCCGACACUUGAUGGCGGAUGGAAUUGAAGCGUCUCUUGAUGUGUUUGGUUUCUUGUGAAAUCUGGAUUCCUUUGCCAAGGCAAUUCCACCAAUAUAGUCACAAAAGAUUUUCAUUGGACCCGAUGCACUAGGUAUGACACCUAGAUUGGAUAUGAACUCCUUCAUCCAAACUCCUUCAUUUGCUACUUCCAAAACCGCAAUCUACUCCGCUUCAUACGUAGAUCCCGCCACGACGCUUUGCUUGGAACUGCACCAACCGGCACCUCCUCCAUUCAAUAAAAAUGCGUAUCUGGUUUGUGACUUAGAGUAAUCCGGAUCGGUGUCAAAGCUUGCAUCGACGUAACCGUUUAUGACGAGCACAUUUUCACCUCCAUGAAUAGGAAACAUAUCCUUAGUCCUUUUCAGGUAUUCCAGGAUGUUCUUUACCGCUGUCCAGUGCUCCACUCCAGGAUUACUUUGGUACGUUCCCGCUAUGCUUAUCGCAAGACAUACAUCAGGUCUGGUACAUAGCAUUGCAUACAUGAUAGAACCUAUGGCUGAAGCAUAGGGAAUGACUUUAAUUUUCUAUCUAUCUUCUGCGGUGGUCGGCCAUUGAGUCUGACUCAACUUCACACCUUGUAACACAGGCAAGAACCCUUUCUUUGAAUGAUCCAUUUUGAACUUCUUCAAAACUUUAUCAAGGUAUGUGCUUUGUGAAAGUCCAAUUAAGCAUCUUGAUCUAUCUCUAUAGAUCUUGAUGCCCAAUAUGUAAGCAGCUUCUCCAAGGUCUUUCAUAGAAAAACUCUUAUUUAGGUAUCCCUUUAUGCUAUCCAAAAAUUCUAUAUCAUUUCCAAUCAACAAUAUGUCAUCUACAUAUAAGAUCAGAAAUGCUACAGAGCUCCCACUCACUUUCUUGUAAAUACAGGCUUCUCCAAAAGUCUGUAUAAAACCAUAUGCUUUGAUCACACUAUCAAAGCGUUUAUUCCAACUCCGAGAGGCUUGCACCAGUCCAUAAAUGGAUCGCUAGAGCUUGCACACUUUGUUAGCACCCUUUGGAUCGAUAACACCUUCUGGUUGCAUCAUAUACAACUCUUCUUCCAGAAAUAUAUUCAGGAAUGCAGUUUUGACAUCCAUUUGCCAAAUUUCAUAAUCAUAAAAUGCAGCAAUUGCUAACAUGAUUCGGACAGACUUAAGCAUCGCUACGGGUGAGAAAGUCCCAUCAUAGUCAACUCCUUGAACUUGUCGAAAACCUUUCGCAACAAGUUGAGCUUUGUAAACAGUAACAUUACCGUUUGCGUCGGUCUUCUUCUUAAAGAUCAAUUUAUUUUCUAUGGCUUGCCGAUCAUUGGGCAAGUCCACCAAAGUCCACACUUUGUUCCCAUACAUGGAUCCCAUCUNNNNNNNNNNNNNNNNNNNNNNNNNNNNNNNNNNNNNNNNNNNNNNNNNNNNNNNNNNNNNNNNNNNNNNNNNNNNNNNNNNNNNNNNNNNNNNNNNNNNCGGAGAGUCAAGAUGAAAACGUGUGCCAACCCAUAUGCAUAGAUUCCCAAGGUCACGGAACCCGCAAGUUGAUCACCAAAACAUACAUGAAGUGAAUCAAUAGAAUAUCCCAUUCUCACCACGGGCAUCCCACGCAAGACAUGCAUAAAGUGUUCUCAAAUCCUUAAAGACUCAAUCUGAUAAGAUAAUUUCAAAGGGAAAACUCAAUCCAUUACAAGAAGGUAGAUGGGGAGAAACAUCAUAAGAUCCAACUAUAAUAGCAAAGCUCGCGGUACAUCAAGAUCGUGCCAAAUCAAGAACACGAGAGAGAGAGAGAGAUCAAACACAUAGCUACUGGUACAUACCCUCAGCCCCGAGGGUGAACUACCCCCUCCUCGUCACGGAGAGCACCGGGAUGAUGAGGAUGGCCACCGAUGAUGGAUUCCCCCUCCGGCAGGGUGCCGGAACAGGGUCCCGAUUGGUUUUUGGUGGCUACAGAGGCUUGCGGCGGCGGAACUCCCAAUCUAGGUUUCUUUUCGGGGGUUUCUGUAUUUAUAGGAAUUUUUGGCGUCGGUCUCACGUCAGGGGGGAGGGGUCUCCCAGUCAUCCACGAGAUAGGGGGGCGCCCCCAGGGGGUAGGGCGCACCCUCCACCCUCGUGGAUGGCUCGGGACUCUUUUGGUCCAACUCUUUUACUUCGGGGGCUUCUUUUGAUCCAUAAAAAAAUCCACAAAAAUUGGCAGGUCAAUUGGACUCCAUUUGGUAUUCCUUUUCUGUAAAACUCAAAAACAAGGAAAAGACAGAAACUGGCACCGGGCUCUAGGUUAAUAGGUUAGUCCCAAAAAUCAUAUAAAAUAGCAUAUAAAUGCAUAUAAACAUCCUAGAUGGAUAAUAUAAUAGCAUGGAACAAUCAAAAAUUAUAGAUACCUUGGAGACGUAUCAAGCAUCACCAAGCUUAAUUCUUGCUCGUCCUCCAGUAGAUAAAUGAUAAAAACAGAAUUUUUGAUGUGGAAUGGUACCUAACAUAUUUAUCAAUGUAAUCUUCUUUAUUGUGGCAAGAAUAUUCAGAUCCAUAAGAUUCAAAACAAAAGUUUAAUAUUGACCUUAAAACAAUAAUACUUCAAGCAUACUAACAAAGCAAUCAUGUCUUCUCAAAAUAACAUGGCGAAAGAAAGAUUAUCCCUAUAAAAUCAUAUAGUCUAGCUAUGCUCCAUCUUCGUCACACAAAAUACUUAAAUCAUGCACAACCCCGAUGACAAGCCAAGCAAUUGUUUCAUAUUUUGAUGUUCUGAAACCUUUUCAACUUUCACGCAAUACAUGAGCGUGAGCCAUGAACAUAGCACUAUAGGUGGAAUAGAAUGGUGGUUGUGGAGAAGACAAAAAGAGAGAGAUAGUCUCACAUCAACUAGGCGUAUCAACGGGCUAUGAAGAUGCCCAUCAAUAGAUAUCAAUGUGAGUGAGUAGGGAUUGCCAUGCAACGGAUGCACUAGAGCUAUAAGUGUAUGAAAGCUCAAAAAACUAAGUGGGUGUGCAUCCAACUUGCUUGCUCACGAAGACCUAGGGCAAUUUGAGGAAGCCCACCAUUGGAAUAUACAAGUCAAGUUCUAUAAUGAAAAAUUCCCACUAGUAUAUGAAAGUGACAACAUAGAAGACUCUCUAUCAUGAAGAUCAUGAUGCUACUUUGAAGCACAAGUGUGAUAAAAGGAUAGUAGCAUUGCCCCUUCUCUCUUUUUCUUCUUUUUUUUGAUUGGGUUCUUUGGCCUCUUUUUUAUUGGCUUUUUCGGCCUCUUUUUUUAUUUUCUCACAUGGGACAAUGCUCUAAUAAUGAUGAUCAUCACACUUUUAUUUACUUACAACUCGAUACUAAGAACAAAAAUAUGACUCUAUAUGAAUGGCUCCGGCGGUGUAUCGGGAUGUGCAAUGAAUCAAGGACAUGUAUGAAAGAAUUAUGAAAGGUGGGUUUGCCACAAAUUCGAUGUCAACUACAUGAUCAUGCAAAGCAAUAUGACAAUGAUGAAGCAUGUCAUAAUAAAUGGAACGGUGGAAAGUUGCAUGACAAUAUAUCUUGGAAUGACUACGGAAAUGCCACAAUAGGUAGGUAUGGUGGCUGUUUUGAGGAAGGUAUAUGGUGGGUGUAUGGUAUCGGCGAAAGUUGCNNNNNNNNNNNNNNNNNNNNNNNNNNNNNNNNNNNNNNNNNNNNNNNNNNNNNNNNNNNNNNNNNNNNNNNNNNNNNNNNNNNNNNNNNNNNNNNNNNNNGCCGCCCCACCGCCUCGCGCUUCUGCCGCCACAGCCGCCGUCGCUGCCAGGAGCCACCGCCGCCGACGCCGUCGCCGCCGCCCGCCACCCCACACCGCCUCGCAGCGCUGGACCCCGUCGAACUUCGCCGAAGCCCGAGCCGAGGUAGCCGCCCUCCGUUUUUUUAGAAAAGCCUAGGUUAUUUUUUUGAUCAGUUUAUUUUAUAUUUUUCCAGUUUAUUUAUUUAGCGAGCGUUCGCUCGUUCGUUCGUUUUAAGGGACGAGUUCACCGUUUAGUUUCAGUUAACGAACGUCCGUUUGUUAAACUGUUCGUUAGUUUUUCUUUUUCUUGGAUUUUCCGCGGUUAUUUCUGAUCGCGAUUUCCGAUCCGAUUUUCGUUUUAGUAUAACUUUUCGCUCGUUUAUCGGAAUCAGGGGAUUCAAUCGCCAAGAGUUUCGUCUCGGAACCCUAUUUCCGCUUAACCAACUCAAACAAGUUUUCGCUUCUGUAAAAUUUGACUUAGGUCCAGAUUAGUAAAUGAAGCUUGUUUUCUUUCGCCGUUUGACUUUCGUUGCUUCAUUCGAUUUGAUUCUUUGAAUUUUCUGGUUAGUUCUCUUAUUUGAGUUUUACCUGUGCAUUAGAUGAGUACUUAUUGAAUGCUUGUUUGUUUGCGAUAGAGUACCCGGAGUGCGCCGCUUGCUACUUCGAAUCUCUAGGUUUCACGGAUCAUCAGCAAGGCAAGUAACACUUUGAUCAUACCCCUUUCAUACCCAGUUUUAUUGCAUUAGAUCAAUCCUCAAACAUUGCAUGAUUAGGAUCUAAUUAAAUUGUGGGUUUUGGAAAGUAGAUGAGGUAGUACCUAUUACAUGUUUUAUUAUCCAACCCUUGGGAGUUACUUCUACGUUUGCUUAUUAUGCCAUGCUAUGCUAGUAGACGUGGAUUGGGUGAGUGUAUCCAUGACAGAUGUGAGAAUGUUAUUUAAUGGUUUAUUUAAGGUGGCAACUUAAGCACACAUCUGGGUGGAUUGAGUCACCUGGGUAUUCCAGCGAUUGCCUGUUUUCUUUAUGGACCGCCACCCAGGCUCAAAGGGAUCAUGAGAUUAUUUAUGCUAGAAACUUCCGUGUGCAGCCACAAGCUACUAUGGGCUCUAGCAUAGUUGAUUAAGUCAUGUGAACUCUUACAGUGGUAGACUAGCAGAUGUAGGGGAUGUAGGUUGGUACUAUCUACCUGAUCGUAAGGUGCAAACGCUUCUAAAAGACUAUGUCUUGGUCAUCCGUUUCUCAAGCACCAUGUAGUGCAAGAAAUCCAACGGAGGAGAUCGAGUCUUGUGGGGAAAAGUGCGCAAACUGCUACAGAGUGUAUAAACUAAUCAUGCUUAGCCAUGCCCCCGAUUAUGGACAUCUUGAGUAUCUAGUACCUGGAUUAUCAUGUGAAUCUCAUCAUGUUACUUUAAUUAAUUUUGUUGGGUUUAAUGAUGAUGUUUAAUUGGGAUUGAGAGGACGUCUAUCUUCGCAAUGUUUAACAACCACCAUGAUAGUUAAAUAAAAUUUAUUCCUUUGCAGUAGGGAAAAAUUGGCUUUAUGCAAACUGUAACCGUAGAGCUUCCCACCAGCCAUAUAUGCAUGUAGUAUAGCAUAUUCUUUCAGUACUCUCUAUGUGUUACAUUGCCAGCAUAUUCCAUGUGCUAACCCGUUUUCGGGCUGCAACGUUCAUGUUGCAGACUUUUCAGACGAGGAGUAAGGUGCCUUAGGUCGUGGUUCUAUACUCAGUGAUGCCGUUGGAGUUAUUGGACUCACUUAUCUUCCAAGCCUUCCGCUGUUAUCGUUGUUAGAUGGCCAUAAGCCAUAUUUAUUGUAACAAUUUCUCUUUUGAGACAUUCGAUGUAAUAAGUGUGUGAUUGCUACUCUGUUAUAAAUCCUUCAUGUACUGUGCGUGUCAGCAUUACUGAUCCAGGGAUGACACUAAAGCACAGUGAUCAGACUGUUUGAGGUCUGGUCACUACAAGAUGGUAUCAGAGCACACGCUGGCUGUAGGACAUGACCACUAAGCUAAAGACCUAGAUCACUACUCACUCUUCUCAUUUCUGACUCCUCAUCUUUUCUACUCUUUUAGGAUGGCGGAUGCAAGGAACAAGUUCACGCAACCGGAUGAANNNNNNNNNNNNNNNNNNNNNNNNNNNNNNNNNNNNNNNNNNNNNNNNNNNNNNNNNNNNNNNNNNNNNNNNNNNNNNNNNNNNNNNNNNNNNNNNNNNNAUAUAUAUAUAUAUAUAUAUAUAUAUAUUGUCAUAUGAUUUCUUAUGCUCAAGUAACAAUCUAUUCACAAUGUCAAGUAUGAAUCAGAAACUUGAUUGAGAACCAACAAACUAUGAUCUCGGUCAUUGAAGCAAUUGCAAUUUAUCAUAACAUAGGAAAAAGUCAAUAAGAGCUUUUUAGCAAGUCCACAUACUCAACUAUCAUUUAGUCUUCCAUAAUUGCUAACACUCACGCAAUACUUAUGGGUAAUGAAGUUUUAAUCGGACACAGAGAAAGAUAGGGGCUUAUACUGUUGCCUCCCAACCUUUUACCUCAAGGGUAAUGUCAACAAUAAUAAUUCAUGCUAACUUACAUCCAAUUGGAUAUAUAUCAGGAUCUUUCCAACACAAGGUGAUUGCCAAACGAUAAAAUGUAAAAAGGAAAGGUGAAGAUCACCAUGACUCUUGCAUAUUGUAAGACAAAAGUAAAACAUAGGCCCUUCGCAGAGGGAAGAAGAGGUUGUCGUGUGCUUUUAUGGUUGGAUGCACGAAAUCUUAAUGCAAAAGAACGUCACUUUAUAUUGCCACUUGUGAUAUGGACCUUUAUUAUGCAGUCUAUCGCUUUUAUUGCUUCCAUAUCACAAGAUUGUGUAAAGCUUAUUUUCUCCAAACAAAUAAGUCAUUCAUAUUUAGAAAGCAAUUUUUAUUGCAUGCAACAUGACAACUUACUUGAAGGAUCUUACUCAAUCCAUAGGUAGAUAUGUUGGACUCUCAUGGCAAAACUGGGUUAAGGAUAUUUGGAAUCACAAGUAGUAUCUCUACUUGGUGCAAGGAAUUUGGCUAGCAUGAGAGGGAAAGGCAAGCUCAACAUGUUGGAUGAUCCAUGACAAUAUACUUUAUUUAGGAUAUAAGAAACCAUAACCCAUUACGUUGUCUUCCUCGGCCAACAUCAACUCUUUAGCAUGUCAUAUUUUAAUGAGUGCUCACAAUCAUAAAAGAUGUCCAAGAUAGUGUAUUUAUAUGUGAGAACCUCUCUUUCUUUAUUACUUCCUAUUAGUUGCAACGAUGACCAAAACUAUGUUUGCCAACUCUCAAUAACUUUUAAUCAUCAUACUCUUAAUAAGUGAAAUCAUUACUCUCCAUAAGAUCAAUAUGAUCUCUUUUAUUUCUUUUAUUCCCUCAAGAUCAUAGCAAGAUAGCAAAGACCUUGACUCAACACUAAUCUUUAUUAUAUAUAGCUCACGGUCUCGAUUACAUAGAGGGAUCAUAAAGCAAAACUCAAAACUAAAUCAUACCAAAACUUUAUUCUACUAGAUCAAGAUAUUACUAAAAGGAUCAAACUAAAAAAAGGUAAAGAUAGGAGUGUGAUGGGGAUACCAUACCGGGACAACUUCCCCAAGCUUGGCAGUUGCCAAGGGGAGUGCCCAUACCCAUGUGUUUAUGUCUCCUUCUUCGAAAGUGAUCAAGGUGGUGGUGCUAAUGGAUAGUCGCACAUCGAGCGUAGGAGUUCGUCCAGUUUGCGGAUAAUACCCUUGAGUGCGGUGAUAUGAUCCCGUGACGGCUAAAGCUCCUUUCACCCAUGGAUGUUGCAUAGCUGCUGGAGAACAAGUGACACUCUUUUUCAUAUUUUCAUAAGAAAGAAAUCUAACAUUGGAAGGGAUGACCGAGUUUGGAAUAGCUGAGCUCUGUAGUUCCCCCAUCGUAAAUCCGGCUCAGAAACGAGAGGUAACUUCUUGAUCUUACUCCAUGGCAUCUAUCCUUUUCAAGUCGGCCUCCAUCUCCUCCUCUGUUGAUGGCCCAAAGUGAUAGGCAUUGCUGUUUGCUCCUAGACCCGGUGUCAGAUGAGAUACCCAACUCUCCCUGACUGACUCUUGAGAAGACAUCUUGCUCUAAAUCUGCUGCAGAAAUAGCUCGACACAAAAACAGAGGAUAUUUGCGUGAUACGGUGGUCAAAAUCUCCAGGAGAUUAUAUAAUGAAUUUUUACCGACCAAAAGAAGUAUCAUGCAAGAAAAUGGAGUCCGGGGAGCACACAAGGUGCCCACGAGGCAGGGGGUGCUCCCAGGGGGUAGGGCAUGCCCUCCACCCUGGUGGAUGCCUCGUGUCCUUCCCGGACUACUUCUUGUUUUCCUAUUUUCUUAAAUAUUCCAAAANNNNNNNNNNNNNNNNNNNNNNNNNNNNNNNNNNNNNNNNNNNNNNNNNNNNNNNNNNNNNNNNNNNNNNNNNNNNNNNNNNNNNNNNNNNNNNNNNNNNUGCCACUUUUCAACGUUGCAUACAGAAAUGCCUCCUCAAGCAACUCGGCAGAAAUGCCCACGUCUAUGUAGACAAUAUUGUGGUGAAGACGGAGAAGUGCGACACCUUGCUGGAAGAUCUCAAGGAAACAUUUGACAACUUGCGCCGAUUUUAGAUCAAGCUCAACCCUGACAAAUGCGUGUUCAGGGUACCAGCCGGCCAGCUCCUAGGCUUCAUGGUCUCUGAAUGCGGCAUUGAAUGCAACCCGGUGAAGAUCAUGGCCAUAGAGAGGAUGGAGAUUCCCACCCGGCUUCGAGAUGUCCAAAAGUUUACCGGGUUCCUGGCUUCCCUUAACCGAUUCAUCAGUCGGCUAGGGGAGAAGGCUCUCCCCCUGUAUCAGCUCAUGAGGAAUUCCACCCACUUUGAGUGGAACGACCAGGCGGACGAAGCUUUUCACAAGCUGAAGAAGAUGUUGAACAUGCCGCCUGUCCUGGCGGCACCGACUGAGAAAGAGCCCAUGCUCCUUUACAUUGCCACAACUAGCCGGGUGGUCAGCACUGUCGUCGUGGUUCAGCGCCCAGAAGAAGGCAGAGCUCAGCUGGUCCAGAGGCCGAUGUAUUACCUGAGUGAAAUACUGUCAACCUCAAGGCAGAAUUACCCCCACUACCAGAAGAUGUGCUAUGGCGUGUACUUUGCCGCCAAGAAGCUCAAGCCCUACUUUCAAGAGCACCCCAUCACGAUCGUUUGCACCUCCCCGCUCGCCGAGAUCAUGGGCAGCCGGGAUGCAUCUGGCCAGGUGGCCAAGUGGGCCAUUGCGCUAGCUCCUUACAACAUCUUCUACCAGCCCCGCACCACCAUCAAGUCCCAAGUGCUGGCCGGCUUCCUCGUCGACUGGGCCGAGACCUAGUACCUACCACCAGAACCUGACUCCACCCAUUGGCGGAUGCACUUUGACGGAUCCAAGAUGCGCACCGGUUUGAGAGCCGGCAUCGUCCUCACCUCUCCCAAGGGCGACAAGCUCAGAUACACGUUGCAAAUUCAUUUUGCCACCUCCAACAACGUGGCCGAGUACGAGGCUCUCAUACAUGGGCUCCAGCUGGCCAAAGAACUCGGCAUCCGCUGGAUCCUGUGCUAUGGCGACUCGGACUUGGUGAUCCAACAGUCGUCUGGUGAUUGGGAUGCCAAGGACGCAAACAUGGAGAGCUACCACUUCCUUGUUUAGCAACUCAGCGGAUACUUUGAAGGGUGCGAGUUCCUCCAUGUGCCACGGACCGACAACGAGCAAGCAGAUGCCCUGGCACGAAUCGGCUCAACCCGACAAGCUAUACCAACCGGCGUCUCCCUUCAACACCUCAUCAAGCUGUCUGUCAAGCCAUCUCCGGAAUCAGACUCCAUCUUCGUGCCGCCUGACCCUGAUGUAGUCGGAUCCGGCUUGGGGAAUCUAGCAGGCGGCUCGAGGACUUCGGCAGGCGGCUCGGGGAUGUAACACCCCCAAUGUCAUGCUACAGUAACCCUCUAUGAUUAGACUAAUCAUUUUCAAAACAGUGCUUAAUCAUCUUUGUUCAAUAUCCCAUUUGAAAUUCCAAUCAAAUCAAAUUCAAGUGAAGUUUGAAGUUGCUCAAAAGUUGCUGGAAAAAAGUUCAUCAUUUGUCAAAAAUUCCAUAACAAUUAUUUGUUAAGGAAAACAACAUCACCAUUGAGCUAAGAUGGACAGUAGCAAUUUUUUCAUUGCAACUUCAACAUUUUUGAAUGUCAUUUCAAUUGUGAAAAAUGUAAAUGACAUCCCCUGGCCUCCAAACUAUUUGUGCCACUAGCUAACAAUGCCUUGGAUUUUAUGGGCCCAGUUCCGUAAUUUAUUUAAGAUAUUUGGAUGCCCCAUUAACUUCCUUUCUUUCUCUGUUUAAAAACAAAGGAAAAAAAGCCCCUGUCCCACUUGGGCUUCGGCCCGCCCGAGCAAGCUGGCCCAACUAGGCCGGCCCAUGCCCCCUCCUCGGUCGCUCUCCCCCUCAUCCCUGUUCCUCUGACCCGGGCCGCUACAAGCGCCGUUCCCGCCCGACCGCCUCGCCGGCGACGCCGGAAGGAGGAUAAGGCCGCCAGUGCCUCGAGGCCUCGACCCCCCUGCUCUCAUCCACCCACUCNNNNNNNNNNNNNNNNNNNNNNNNNNNNNNNNNNNNNNNNNNNNNNNNNNNNNNNNNNNNNNNNNNNNNNNNNNNNNNNNNNNNNNNNNNNNNNNNNNNNUGAAAAUCAUGAAACUUUGCAUGGUGUUAUGUCAUGGCACAAACAUGUUGUGGUAAAAAAUUUGGCCGAAUUGGAACAAGUUUUGGUAUAAGCUUCUUGCAAACCGGAGCUUCUCUCGAAAAGCCUCAUGGUUCCUAGAGGGAACAUGUCACCUUUCUGUGCGAAACAAUAUAUGUUGCCUCCCCCUUGAUUUUCAUUACAGAGGCAACAUAGAACUAUAUGUGUUCUGUGUUAAAUUUUGGAAUUAUUUCGGGUUUGUUGGCCUUUUUUAUACAUUAAUUGACUUUCUGGUCAUUUAAUGUGCAUAAUUCAAAUUUGCACAAAAAGCACAUGCUCCAGUGCAUCAAAGUUGGUUGAAAAAUCACAUGUGUGUCCUCGGGUGAAUUUCUACAUCCCAUGCAAGAAAUGCGACUGAAAACAUCCGGGCGUUGUGGCUCGGCCGAAAACAUUGAGAAACUUGGUUUUCUAAUUCCUGUAAAUCCAAAACACGCAUGAAAAUCAUGAAACCUGGCUUGGUGUCAUGACAUGGCACCAACAUGAUGUGGUAAUUUUGCUGUCCAAUUUGUGAAGGCGCACACAUUAACAAUCAACAAAGUUAUUUUGGAACAAGUGCUGUCACAUUACAAUCGAAAACACAAGUAUUAUUUAAACCGUGGGCGUUCUACUUACCAUUUACGUGCCGCCACACGUCCCUUUUUUAUUGGCUAGGAGGCGCCGUGCGGGGUAGCUAUUUGAGUACGCGAGGCAUGCGAUCAGACCCCUGCCCGUGCUUAUUGGGAGGAGAGCCCUUUGACCCCCAUCUGACACCCACCUCUCUCCCACAGUCUCCAUAAAUGGCCCUCGAGCCCCUGUUUAAUGGCAUGGGCAUGUCUCACUUGAUUGAGAUUUAAGAGAGAAAAAAGAAAAUCUGAAAAGAAAAUUUUGCCCGGAUCUUGAUGUAAGAUCGGACAGACCUAUAUAGCAUCUACUUAUAGCAAGACUGAUGAAUAUAUAAGGACGAUGACAGUGGAUAAUAAUUGUCUUACAUAUGUAGGAAGAUAAUUAAAAAAAGUCACAUGCCGCUACGCCCGAAAUACAAAAGGGCAAAAGAAGGAGGACGCAUACAACGCUCUGGCUCGCUGAUCUCUACUUUCAUGUUGCGAUGUAGGUCACAGAGACCAGUUCCCUAUCACACGCAAUAUGUGAUCCUAUAUGAGAGGAACUCGAAGGUCCCACCAAGGAUAGAGCCGCAUAUUGAAAUGCUUCUGCAAGGUGGAUAUCAUUACAUCAUACGAUUACAUAACACAUCAGGAUACAUACAAAAGUCAUACAAUGCCACAUGAAUACAACAACAUCAUACAUAGGAGGAACAUCCGUCCCACCAAGGAUAGAUCCGCAUGUUGAAACGCUUUUGCAAGGUGGACAUCAUUACAUCAUACCAUUACAAAACACAUGGGGAUACAUACAAAAGGCAUACAAUGCCACAUGAAUACAACAACAUCAUACAUAGGAGGAACAUCGGUGUAUGAUGUUAUUGUAUUCAUGUGGCAUUGUAUGGCUUUUGUAUGUAUCCCCAUGUGUUAUGGAAUGGUACGAUGUAAUGAUAUCCACCUUGCAAAAGCAUUUCAAUAUGCGGCUCUAUCCUUGGUGGGACCUUCGAGUUCCUCUUGGAUAAGAUCGCAUAUUGGGCGUGACAAGUUGGUACCAGAGCCUCGACCGACCAUAGGAGCCCCCUUGAUUGUACUUAGCAUGGCCGUUGUCCAGUCUAGAAGAAAACUAUUUUGGAGUCUAUUUAUAUCAGAGUGUAGGAAUUCUUUUUUAAUCAUUAGCCCCUUCGUCGCUCUGGUGAGGAAUCUUGACGUAGGUGUUUUGAAUUACUUCUCUUCCCCUUCAAAUUUUCUUUAGGAUCGCGCAGGUGUUUUCGUUUGUUGGCUAUCGUUUGUUCACCCGGUGCACUUCUAUUCGAGUUGAUCCGAUCCCUCUUCGUCUUUGCAAGAUCAAUCCUCAGUUCUUUCUCAAUGAAGUUGUUUCCCUACCCUCAAUUGUUUUCUUUUUCCCAUUCACCCACCCCUUUUCUUCUUGGAGCCGGAGUCCAUAAUUGAGUAUCCAUUCUACUCGUGUGAAGCCUUCGCAUUNNNNNNNNNNNNNNNNNNNNNNNNNNNNNNNNNNNNNNNNNNNNNNNNNNNNNNNNNNNNNNNNNNNNNNNNNNNNNNNNNNNNNNNNNNNNNNNNNNNNUUCGUUUGUUAACCCAUUUGUCGUUUUUCUUUUUCUCGGAUUUAAUUCGCGAUUUUUCUGAUCCCGAUUCCUGAUCCAAUUUUCAUUUUAGUUUAACUUUUCGCUCGUUUAUCGGAAUUAGGCGAUUCAAGCGCCUGGAGUUUCGUCUCGAAACCCUCUUUCUGAAUAAUCAACUUAAACAAGUUUUUCUUUUGUAAAAUUUGACUUAGAUCCAGAUUAGUAGAACGAAGCUGUUUUCUUUUGCCAUUUGACUUUCGUUGCUUUGUUCGAUUUGAAUCUUUUUGCAAACCGGAGUUCUUAAAUUGAUCAUUCUGGUUAGAUCGUUUAUUCGAGUUUUACCUGUGCAUUAGAUGAGUACUUAUUGUAUGCUUGUUGUUUGUCUCCGAUAGAAUAUCCGGAGUGCGCCGCCUGUUACUUCGAGUCUCUAGGUUUCGCGGAUCAUCAGCAAGGCAAGUAACACUUUGAUCAUACCUUUUCUAUUACCCAGUUUUUAUGCAUUAGAUCAAUCCUCAAAAAUUGCUUGAUUAGGAUCUAAUUAAAUUGUGGGAUGGGAAGUAGUUAAGGUAGUACCUAUUACCUGUUUUAUUAUCAAACCUUUGGGAGUUACUUCUAUGUUUGCUUAUUAUGCCGUGCUAUGCUAGUAGACGUGUAUUGGGUGAGUGUAUCCAUGACAGAUGUGAGAUUGUUAAUCAAUGGUUUAUUUAAGGUGGCAACUUAAACACACAUCUGAGUGGAUUAAGGCACCUGGUUUCUAUCAGGACUUGCCUGUAUUUCUUCGGACCACCACCCAGGCUCAAAGGGAUCAUGAGAUUAUUCAAACUAGAAACUUAGGUGUGCAGCCACAAGCCAUUAUGGGCUCUGGAAUAGUUGACUAAGUUGUGCGAACUCUUACGGCUAGACUAGCAGAUGUAGGGGAAAGUAGGUGUCCCGGUCUACCAACAUGUAAGGUGCUAGUGCUUCCGAAAGACUAUGUCUCGGUCAUCCAUUUCUCAAACACCAUGCAGUGCGAGGAAUCAAACGGAGGCGAUCGACUCUUGUGGGGAAAAGUGCGCAAACCUCUGCAGAGUGUAUAAACUAAUCAUGAUUAGCCGUGUCCCCGGUUAUGGACAUCUUGAGUAUCUAGAACAUGGAUAUCAUGUGAAUCUCAUCAUGUUACUCUAAUUUUAAUGUUGUUGGGUUUAAUGAGUACUUUUAAUUGGGAUUGAGAAUGUUGUCAACCAUUCUCAAUGUUUAACAACCACCAUGAUAGUUAAAUAAAUUUAUUCCUUUGCAGUAGGGAAAAAUUGGCUUUAUGCAAAACUGUAACCAUAGAGCUUUUCCACCAGCCAAAUAUGCAUGUAGUAUAGCUUAAUCCAUUGUUAUCCUCUAUGUGUUACAUUGCCAGCAUAUUCCAUGUGCUGACCCGUUUUCGGGCUGCAACGUUUCAUGUUGCAGACUUUUCAGACGACGAGUAAGAUGCUUUUAGGUCGUGGUUCUAUACUCAGUGAUGCCGUUGGAGUUUAUGGACUCGCUUAUCUUCCAAGACUUCCGCUGUUAUCGUUUUUAGAUGGACUUAAGCCAUAUUUAUUUCAAUAAGUUCUCUUUUGAGACAUUCGAUGUAAUAAGUGUGUGAUUGCUACUCUGUUAUAAAUCCUCCAAGUACUGUAUGGUGUCAGCAUUACUGAUCCAGGGAUGACACUGAGCACAGAGAUCAGACUGUUUGAGGUCUGGUCGCUACACCACCCAUGACUUAGCCCAGAGGGGAGUGAGUGGGAGUGGUCGGGAGAGUGUCAUGGCAGUAGAUCGGUUUAGUCGAAACGUCGUUGGUCCACCCGAAUGGGAGUGCGAGGCCAUGGGUUCCGUAGUGUGGGCGCAGUGUACUAACCUCUACAAAGUGUAUAUUAAAUCUAUCAAUAGUCGUGCCCGCGGAUAAGGGCCCAGUUCGAAAGUAGGGUACACCAUGAGUCAACAGUAAUAAGGAUAACUUGAUUAAUGACACCUCGUGGUUGUGAUCGCCGUAAGGAUCACGGUUUGGGACCAAGUGUUGGUCAUGGUUGUGAUCGCCGUAAGGAUCACGGUGGUAUCGAGGAUACCGAGAUGUUGUAUAUUCGUCAUGUUGUGNNNNNNNNNNNNNNNNNNNNNNNNNNNNNNNNNNNNNNNNNNNNNNNNNNNNNNNNNNNNNNNNNNNNNNNNNNNNNNNNNNNNNNNNNNNNNNNNNNNNGCCUCGAUCUCCUGAAGGGCCUUCUGGGCUUCGGCCUUAGCGGUCUUGGCACUCUCAAGAGCCAAGGCAAGCUCGGACUCUCGAGCCUUCGAGUCACGCUCCAAACUCUCGUGUUUUUCCACGAGAGCCUGGAGCUCUUGCCGCACCUCCGCCACCCGCGCCUCCUGCUUCUCUCGCUCGGUGCGCUCCAAGGCCGCACUCUUUUCGGCCUUGGAGACCGCCUCUUUCAGGGUCGCCACCUCGGUCGUGGCUCCUGCAGCAUUAACGUUGGUCCUGUUAUUAUUUUGCAACAAAGUAUUUCUAUAUACAUUUACAGGAGGUACUAUGUACCCUCUUUAUCCUCGAGCUGCUUCUUGGCACGGCCGAGCUCGCACUCGGACCGCUCGAGGCUUUCCUUCAAGGCAUUGACCUCCGUAGUUAGUGCGGCAGAGGUCAGCAGCGCAGCCUGCAUUCCCAUAUUGACAUAUUUCUAUUAGACUCCUGCGUAUAUCUUUUUAGAUCCUCAGCUCGGCUUUUCUUUCCGAACACCGAGCUGAGCAUCAGGGGCUACUGUCUAUGCGGUAAUAUUUUUUAUAUAUGAUUUUGAACACAUACCUCAAAGCCCGUUAACAGGCUUGUGCAGGCUUCCGUCAGCCCGUUCUUGGCGGACUGAACCUUCUGAAUCACCGCACUCAUAACAGUGCGGUGUUCUUCGUCGAUGGAGUCGCUGUUAAGCGCCUCCAGCAAAUUGUCCGGCGCCUCCGGGUGGACGGAAGUCGUCGGCGUCGCAGGCUUGCCCUUCUUAUGAAGGCGCCGCCUGUCGGACUCUGGAACCGCUGAUGGUUCCGAAGCAGUGUCCGUCCCGGGGCCGGACUUAGAUCCCUCCGGGGCUUUACCCCCUUUGGGCCUGGAGUCCGGAAGGUCGCCUUGUGGAGCUUCCAGGACCACCUCCUCCUGGUUUUGUCCCCUAUGGUACUCCACCUGAGCGUCAUCUGUAGGGAGAGGGGAGGAGGCCGUCGGAAGUGAAGCGCUAUUCACGUCCGACGAAUUCAGAGAUCCGCUCGACAAAUCGCCAAGCUGAGCUCUGGGCGAACUGCAUGAUUAGCUUCAGCGUUAAAAGCUAUCGAAUAAUAAAGGUGUGCAAUAAGUCAUUCGGGUAGCCGGACACUUACGAUUUUGCUAGGGGCUUGACCCUGGAUGGCCAGUCCCCCCAGCCGUCUUCGGCGUCGGGGGCGUAGUCCGGCAGAAGAGUCUUCCCCUUCUUGGACCCUCCAGCUUCCCUAGUUGGGGCGGCCUUUCUCUUCUUUCCUCCCCCCGUUGGAGGGGGAGAGGCAUCUUCUUCUUCUUCCUCCUCCUCGUCUUCGGAGGCGGAGGGUGCGUUGGGGCCGUCGGGCAAAUCCGACGACACCAGGCGCCGGGAACUAUUUCGAGUCCCCGUGGCCUUCUCCUUGGCCUUCUUCUCCGGCACCACGUGAGGCGCCGGAACCAGUAGCUUUGCUAAGUGUGCGUCUACUGGGCCUUCAGGCAAAGGGGCCGGACAGUCAAACUGUCCGGAUGUCCUCUUCUAGUCAUGUCAAAGGAAUGGGAGUUUAGAUCCCACAUAAAGUCGCACUAUGAAAUUCGGGUAUCCCGUAAGGGACUAAAUGUAAGCUUACUUCGGAGGCUUGACGUUUGGCGCAGAAUCUGCGAUCCUCGGUGACGGGAGGGGAGACCACGGAACUCUUGAAAAGCACCUUCCAGGCAUCCUCGUGCUUCGUUUCGAAGAGCCGGGAUAGAGUCUGGUGCUAGGCCGGGUCGAACUCCCACAAAUUGAAGUCCCGUCGUUGACACGGGAGGAUCCGGCGGAAGAGCAUGACCUAGACCAUGUUGACAAGCUUGACCUUCUUGGUCACCAGGUCUCGGACGCAGGUUUGGAGCCCGGUCACCUCUUCUGGAUUGCCCCACGACAGGCCCGUCUCUUUCCAAGAUGUGAGCCGGGUGGGGAUGCCGGAUCGAAAUUCGGGGGCCGCUGCCCAUUUAGGGUCACGCGGCUCGGUGAUAUAAAACCACCCCGAUUGCCACCCUUUGAUGGUUUCCACGAAGGCACCCUCAAGCUAGGUAACNNNNNNNNNNNNNNNNNNNNNNNNNNNNNNNNNNNNNNNNNNNNNNNNNNNNNNNNNNNNNNNNNNNNNNNNNNNNNNNNNNNNNNNNNNNNNNNNNNNNUAAUUAACUUCCACAAAUUAAAUAAAGCUACUAGAAAGGAUCAUUACCCUUUACCUUUUAUUGAUCAAAUGCUAGAAAGAUUAUCCAAACAUACAUAUUUUUGCUUUCUAGACGGUUAUUCUGGUUUCUCUCAAAUACCUGUGUCAAAAGAGGAUCAGGAAAAGACCACUUUUACUUGCCCUUUCAGUACCUUUGCUUAUAGACGUAUGCCUUUUGGUUUAUGUAAUGCACCUGCUACCUUUCAAAGAUGUAUGACAGCUAUAUUCUCUGACUUUUUUGAAAAGAUUGUGAGGUUUUCAUGGAUGAUUUCUCCGUGUAUGCAGCUUCUUUUUAUGAUUUCUUAAGCAACCUUGAUCGAGUUUUGCAAAGAAGUGAAGAAACUAAUCUUGCCUUGAAUUGGGAGAAGUGCCACUUUAUGGUUAAUGAAGGUAUUGUCUUGGGGCAUAGAAUUUCUGAAAGAGGUAUUGAAGUUGAUAAAUCUAAAAUUGAUGCUAUUGAAAAGAUGGCGUGUCCUAAGGACAUUAAAGGUAUAAGAAGUUUCCUUGGUCAUGCCGUUUUGUAUAGGAGGUUCAUUAAAGACUUCUCAAAAAUUUCUAGGCCUCUGACUAAUCUCUUACAAAAAGAUGUUCCUCUUGUCUUUGAUGAUGAUUUGUAGAAGCAUUUGAAAUACUUAAGAAAGCCUUGAUUUCUGCACCUAUUGUUCAGCCACCUGAUUGAAAUUUACCCUUUGAAAUUAUGUGUGAUGCUAGUGAUUAUGCUGUUGGUGUUGUUCUAGGACAAAGAGUUGAUAAGAAAUUAAAUGUUAUCCAAUAUGCUAGUAAAACUCUAGACAGUGCCCAGAGAAAUUAUGCUACUACUGAAAAAGAAUUUUUAGCAGUUGUAUUUGCUUGUGAUAAGUUCACACCUUAUAUUGUUGAUUCUAAAGUAACUGUUCACACUGAUCAUGUUGCUAUUAAAUAUCUUAUGGAAAAGAAAGAUGCUAAACCUAGACUUAUUAGAUGGGUUCUCUUGCUACAAGAAUUUGAUUUAGAUAUUAUUGAUAGAAAGGGAGCUGAAACCCCAUUGCAGAUAACUUAUUUAGGUUAGAGAAUGUUCUUGAUGACCCACUACCUAUUGAUGAUAGUUUUCUUGAUGAACAAUUAGCUAUCAUAAAUGCUUCUCGUACCGCUCCAUGGUAUGCUGAUUAUGCUAAUUAAAUUGUUGCUAAACUUAUACCACCUUGUUUCACAUACCAGCAAAAGAAUUUUUUUUCUAUUAUUUAAGACAUUACUUCUGGGAUGACCCGCACCUUUAUAAAGAAGGAGUAGAUGGUGUUAUUAGAAUUUGUGUACCUGAGCAUGAACAAGAACAGAUCAUAUGCAAGUGUGACUUUGAGUCUUCUAUAGGACACCACACUGGAGAUAUAAUUGCCCAUAAGGUAUUGCAAUCCGGUUUUUAUUGGCCUACUCUUUUCAAAGAUGCCCGUAAGUUUGUCUUGUCUUGUGAUGAAUGUCAAAGAAUUGGUAAUAUUAGUAGAUGUCAAGAAAUGCCUAUGAACUAUUCACUUGUUAUUGAACCAUUCGAUGUUUGGGGCUUUGAUUAUAUGGGAUCGUUUCCUUCUUCUAAUGGGUAUACACAUAUUUUAGUUGUUGUUGAUUACGUUACUAAGUGGGUAGAAGUUAUUCCAACUAGUAGUGCUGAUCAUAACACCUCUAUUAAUAUGCUCACUACUAGGAAAAUGGCUAUAGAUGGGAUUGACACUAAUGGCGCACCAGAAAGAUGGUGCGCCAUUAGUAUAUACUAAUGGCGCACCACAAUCUGAUGCGCCAUUAGAGUUUAAACAACUAAUGGCGCACCAUGCUACGGGUGCGCCAUUAGUAUCAAAUUUUUUUUUAACUAGUGCGCCUGUCCAAACAUACUAAUGGCGCAUCCCGGCAAAGUGCGCCAUUAGUAGUUGUAACUACUAAUGGCGCACUGGGCAGCAGGUGCGCCAUUAGUAUAGAAACUUUUUUUUUGAACUAGUGCGCCUAUCCAAACAUACUAAUGGCGCAUCCCGCCUAAGUGCGCCAUUAGUAGUUGUAACUACUAAUGNNNNNNNNNNNNNNNNNNNNNNNNNNNNNNNNNNNNNNNNNNNNNNNNNNNNNNNNNNNNNNNNNNNNNNNNNNNNNNNNNNNNNNNNNNNNNNNNNNNNGUCUCGCGAUGGGAAGCGGCUCCUCUGUCGUGCUCUUUGUGUCGUCGGGCUACUGAUAGACGGUGACGGCGGCGUCUUGCAUCGUUGUUGGCGUACUCCUGGACGUUGACCUAGCUUCAAGGAAGGCCAAAAUGUUCUGGACUUCGGAGCGAGUCAACUGGCGGGAGGAUGCGACUGGUGCUGGUGCAAGGAAGCGGUCGACAGCGGCCAUCCAUGACGCUGAGGGGGGCACUGGCACCCGCGCGGGGACAGGCGCAGUCAACAACGCGGCGGAGACAUUCGAGUGCACGGGCACCGGCAUGGGCGCGCACAUCAGUGCACGCACAGGCGCAUGCGCUGGCAGGUGCAUGGGCACCGGCACGGGUGUGCGCGUUAGUGCACGCGCAGGCGCAUGCGCUGGUAGGUGCAUGGGCCAGUGAAAGUCGGCGAGGACCUCGUGGAACCCCGUGGGAUCAAGCUCGGCGACAAUGUGUGGCUCCGAGCCCAACAAUGCCACAGGGAUGGGCACUGGUGCAGUCGGGGUGACGGGAGCCAGAACGGGAGCGGGGACAAGCGCGGUGUCUUCCCGCAAGGCUAGUUCAAGCUUGUCCCAAAGCGCCUUAUGUUCUUGAGACUCCGGAUGGGUGUCUUCCUCAGGAAACUAGAACACUAAGGGCAGACCAUCGUGAUGCGGCAUGGCGUACGUUUAGGUCAGGCUAGUUGGAGGUAGACGAUAGGAGAAUUGGAGAGGAAGAGAGAAGAUUUUAGCGGUACCGGGUAGUGCGGGGUUGAUUUUAAACUGUGGCGCUGGCGACAUUAAAAGUGGGAGCAGUUGGGACGAAGGUGGGCGGCGGAGCCUGGUCAAAGGGCUCGCCUCACGGUGAGCCUGCAGAGCGGUCUGCUCGCAUGCCUCCCUGUCAGCCGGCACAGCGGUCUGCUCGCACGCCUCCUGUCGACUCACACGCUUGCCCGGACGGCACCUGCCGAUGAGAAGCGGGGACUCGUGGCGGCACGUAAACGCCCAUGGUUUCAAUAGUGAAAGCAUUCACCUUAACGUGACAGGUCUUUGUUCCAAAGUACCUUGGCUCUUCAUUUGUGCAACUUGUCAUAAGCACCUUGUCUCAAAUUAAAGAAAAAACUUACGAAGUAAUAUUUGUGCCAUAUCACGUGACCAUGCUCAGUUUCAAGAAUUUAUGCUCACUUUUGGAUUUUCUGAAAUAUAAGAUCCAGGAUUCGAAACAAUAUCAUAACCUGCAUCAUGCCAUAAAUUUUCAAGCCGUACAUCUGUCCUGCUGUAUUUCUUAAGAAAGGAUUUGGUCAAACAUUUUGCUUUGUUAGACUUCAGACAAGUUAUAUAUUGAGAGUAAAAGGAUAAUCCCUACGUACCAGUGCAUUGCCUGAUAUAUUAACUCAAGUACUAGGCACGAACAAACAGGCUCAAUUAUGUGCUCAUCCUGGUGUAGUAGUAGUAGUACUAGGCAAUGCUGUUGACGGGUGACCUUGCCGAGUGGCGACCGAGGGAAUUGAACCGUGCUCGGCACAGUAGGUAACGUUGUCUAGUUACUAAAGCAUCCCUCCGUUGUUCAUCGGUAGUCAUUAUGGACCGGGGACAUGAGGGGAAUUUCCUAGGGCUGGAAUUCUGGCCGCCAGAUAUUUCGACUUGAAACACUGAGGCUCGACUGGUUGGGGUUGCCUAAUGUGCGUACGACGCACGCCACCAAAGGACACGAGCCCGGGUUUUUUUAGGAUCAACAUGAGCCAAGGUCUGGCUGGUACGCCGUUGGGUCCUACCAUUCGAGAAUACGAAAGGAACCUUUUAAAUUGCCAAACGAAUCUAUGUGUAUUACAAUACCUGUAUUUUCCUUGCAAAUACUAAUCUCAACGUGGUAAUUGAUUUAUGACGAGUUGUUGAAUUAGAGCGAGUUUGUGAUAUAGUGAUCUCAACGUGGAUUUCACAUUUCAUGGUAUCCCUAGUAAGUUUUCCAAUGCAAAUUCAAAUUUAAAAGAUGAACAAUAUGGAGGUGAGAAAACUUUGUAUGUAUCAAGCAUAUGACCACACACACACACACANNNNNNNNNNNNNNNNNNNNNNNNNNNNNNNNNNNNNNNNNNNNNNNNNNNNNNNNNNNNNNNNNNNNNNNNNNNNNNNNNNNNNNNNNNNNNNNNNNNNAAAAUUGCUUCGACAUUCCGGAAAGAGAAACUGAAAAUAAAAGUGCCGGUUUAAGGUAUCUAAUUUAGUGUUAAACCAGAGAAGAAUAUUGUGGUAGUUUAGUUGGCAGUGUAAGAGAGGGUUAAUGCUAUAUGGCGGAUUGACUAUUAAAGGGUUAAACCGCCUGUAGGCAGAAUGGCCAGAAUUCGAAAUUUCUGCUAAGUAUUGACAGAAACAGGUUUCACACAAUGGUCAAAUUGGAUCUACCACACAUCUGUAAAGCAGUUUUUAUCUGAGUUCUAAAGGAGCUAAAUAGAGCAGGGAAGGCCAUGUACUCUACAGAGGUAAAAGAACGAUCUGCUAGCAUUAAAAAUGGACGAAGGGUACCUACCGCAUGAGAUCUACACUAUUACUGGGUCAAAAAUUGUCGCGGCAGGUGGAAGAACAAAGAAGGAUGAAGAACUGUGCGGAAGAACUCGAGAACCCUAGAAACAGAUCUAAAGACAGAGGGGAAAGGAAGUUUGCCACUGCAGAUCUACUGCGGAAGAAGGAUGACGAAAGUCUGGUCUGUUUCAGGUUGAUGCAGCGGCCUUUGUUGAUGCAGAUCUCGAAGGUCGCGGACGGCGGCGGAGCUCCAGAGCUUGGGCGUCGCGAGGAAGAAGAAGGCAAAAGGGGAAAAGAGAGAAGGGCCCUUGGGCCUUAUUUAUAGAGGAGAGAGUAAAACGGCAGGCGCGGAACUCAAGGAACCUGAAACGGCAGAAUAACGCCUGUCGCCUCGAUUUUCAGGAUAACCAUUAAGUAAAGGGAAUCUUUUUUAAUUAUUGUUUACAGAGAUGAUGUCAUGAUGGACCGUUGCUGCGUUCAGAGGAUGACGUCACGGCGGUUUACAAAGUUUCAAGAGAAGACAAUAUGGCGGUUUACAAAAAUACAUGAAGAUGCUUGCAAGGGAUAUUUGAAGUAUUGAAGAUUGACAUGAACAAAUUCAAAAUCAAUCUGGGGCCUAAUGUGGAGGAUAUAGCUACUGGGUAUAAACCGGCCAGGAGGGUCCGGUUCACCCUUGACUAUGUUGAAGCCCAUGAAGAUCCGGAAGAUGGUGCUUUACUAAAAGAAGCAUAGAAGCCCGAAGCCCAAAGGCGGAUUAGGGCCCAUAGUGGUAAACCGCCAUGACUAUGUAAACUUGUAGUAUAAGUUAGGAAAGGAGAGACCGAGCCGGACACUUUGUAUGAGUCGGCCUUGGGCUCUGUAAACCGGCCGGGCGUCAACCUGUGUAUAUAAAGGGGCAACCCGGCGGCGGUUCAGGGACAACAGACAAUAACUCGAGACUCAGGCGAGCGUAUUCCGCUCCCUGAUCAUUGAAACCCAAUCAAUCCCAUCACAAACUAGAUGUAGGCUUUUACCUUCAUCGAAGGGGCCGAACUAGUAUAACUCCCGUGUCCCUUGUCCGGUUUAACCCCUUCAAGCUAACUAGUUGUGAUGGCUCCACGACUAAGUCCUUUCACGAGGACAUCUGACGUGAUAAUUCCACGACAUAACCCAUACAAAAGUGCCUCAUACUCAGUCUCAUUGUUUGAAGAAUCAAAGUGAAUCUGGAGGACAUAGCUGAGCUUGUCACCUAUUGGGGAUACCAAAACCACUCCUGUAACGGAUCCAUUCAACAUCUUGGACCCAUCAAAGAACAUAGUCCAAUGCUCCGAGUGAAUCUGGGUCGACUGCUGAUACGUCUCCAACGUAUCUACUUUUCCAAACACUUUUGCCCUUGUUUUGGACUCUAACUUGCAUGAUUUGAAUGAAACUAACCUGGACUGACGUUGUUUUCAGCAGAACUGCCAUGGUGUUGUUUAUUGUGCAGAAAACAAAAGUUCUCGGAAUGACCUAAAAUCCACGGAGAUAAGAUUUGGAAAUAUAAAAAAUACUGGCAAAAGAAUCAAGGCCAGGGGGCCCACACCCUGUCCACGAGGGUGGGGGCGUGCCCCCCCCCCCCCGGGCGCGCCCCCCUAUCUCGUGAGCCCCCUAAUGCUCCACCAACCUCAACUCCAACUCCAUAUAUUCCGUUUUGUGGAGAAANNNNNNNNNNNNNNNNNNNNNNNNNNNNNNNNNNNNNNNNNNNNNNNNNNNNNNNNNNNNNNNNNNNNNNNNNNNNNNNNNNNNNNNNNNNNNNNNNNNNGGGGGGGGGGACAAACACCGGCAACAGAGAAAGAAUACAAUCAAUGCAAUGCUCAAUAUGAUGCAUGAUCAUGACAUGGCAACAUGCUGGUGUUUUGAGCUAAUGCAACUAGCAACAGAAUUAAAUGAAGUUGGUUUGAACCCUAAGUUCAAAUCCAAACUCCAUAUGUGAAAUUCGAAUGCCAUUUAUGUGAUUUGUCCUAAAUAGUAUCCAUAAGUUGUUCUAUCAUGCAUGAAAAUGGUACCGAUGGAUAGAUUGGAUUUUUCUGAUCAUUUUUCAUAUAUAAUUUAUUUCAUUCUGAGUUACGGUUGAUUUUAUAUGAAUUUUAGAAGUUUUGACUAUUUUCUGAAAUAAAUAAAUCAUUUUAGAUUUAUUUAAAAUCCAGAAAAUAGAUUACUGCGUCAGCAUGACGUCGGAAUGACGUCAUCGGGUCAACAGCGUCGGCCCAGGUCAAACCUGACGCUAGGACCCAUGUGUCAGUGACUAACUAAACUAACCUAGUUUAAUUUGCACUAACCUAGUUUAAUCUAAUUAAAUUUAAACCUAAACUAGAUUAAUUAGCCGGGCGGGGCCCACGUGUCAGUGAGAGAGGUGCUAAUUAGCAGGAUGAUUAGUCCUAACUAGGUGGCCACGUCAGCGCACCGGCGGUUAGCCGCCGACAACAAAACAGGGCGGCGUAGGCGCUCGGGAUUCGCCGUCCGGCGACCGUUCGACACGGGGUUUGGCUCUACGGCCUGCUGGACGUGCACCGCAUCCAACGGAGCAUGCGGCUGGGCGAGAGGAGGCCGGAAACGACGGCUGCAAUGAUGGCAGGCGGCGGCCAGAGUUCGGUUGCACUCGGAACCGGCGAUGUGGUGCACGGCAGGUCGAGCGGUGGGGUGCUAGGUGCUCCUGCAAACGUGCUGAGCACGGUGACACUCUCAGACGCGGCGGAGGUGGGCUCUAGCCUUGGCGGCGACGAAGCACAACGGCGGCGAGCUUCGGUCGGGGUGGCCAAAGGCGCUAGAGGAGAAAAUCGACAGAGGGGAGAGAGGGGUUGGGUAGAGGAGCUCACGGUGAGGUCGUCGGUGCACUCAACGUGCUCGGGGGUGGCUCGAUGAUGAUGGAAAGUCUCCGGCAAUCUCCAUGGCCGAAGGAGGAAGAAGGGGGAGGGGAAGGCGUUUUGGGGCUCUUCUGGUCGCCUGAGACGACGAGGAGGACGAGGGCGGAACGGCGGAUCUCGGGGGCGUGUCGGAGAGGCUUGGGGAUGGCUGCGGCCGCGCGAGCGCUGGUUGGCGGCGACGGCGGCGCUCGGGGAAGAGAGGGGGAGGGAGCCAGAGGAGGGGAUGAGCAUGGGGAGAGUGAGAGCGGUCCAGGGGGGUGCGUGGCGUCGUCCAAAAGACCGGGGAGGCCAGGCAGGCAGGGAGGAGCUGGCGCGGCUCGCCUGCGCGCCGGGCACACAGCUGCUUCUCCUCCUGGCAAGAGGAAGAAGACAGUGCUACCCCUGGUGGGCUGGGCUGGGUUUGCCCGGCUGGGCUGCUACAGUGGUGGGCUGGCUGGGCUGCCAGGUAUGUCCUUCUCUCUCUCUUUUAUUUGUUUUAGUUUUCUAUUUCUGUAGUUUGUAGGGCUUUAUUAAAAAUACUUAGGCAUUUUCAAAAAUCACCAAAACUGCACAUGCCCAUUGUUUAGAACAUAUCCAACAUGGAACAUUUCAGUUUGGGAUUAUUUGGACGUUUAAAAUAUUAUAUAGCAUUUAAAUGCCCAAAUGCAAAUAGAGUAUGAUUUAAUUCAGUGACCCAAUGUUGUCCUAGAAAAAUGUGAACAAAUUUUGCCAGAGGUUCUAACCCAGGAAAAAAAUGAUGGACAUUUUAGAAGGGCAUUUCAGGUUCAUUGGAAAAGGUUUUGGUAAACCCUAAUUGGUUUAAGGGGGGUGCUGGGGGUUCUGUCAUCCCCAUUUCAUAUUUAAGAGAAAAUUUAAACAUGAUGCAUGGAAGCUAAUGCAAAGACAAGGAAGGCCUGAAUUGGGGCUGUGACAACUCACCCCCACUAAANNNNNNNNNNNNNNNNNNNNNNNNNNNNNNNNNNNNNNNNNNNNNNNNNNNNNNNNNNNNNNNNNNNNNNNNNNNNNNNNNNNNNNNNNNNNNNNNNNNNCGCGUCCGGAGACGCGAGACUUAGUGCCGCGUCCUUGAGUGAUGCUCCCUCAUGAGACCCCUGGCUCAACUUCAGCUUCUUCGUCUUGGGGGGCGACCUCAGGAGGGAGGGCGCCAUCUUCAUCUUAUAGGUUCUUGUAACGCCUCGGAUGUAACUUUCCAUAAUUGUAACUCCAACUCUUGCCAUUUCUAGCUACGUGUUAUGUUAUUUCCUCCGUGGUUGGGUUUUUGUCUUUUGUUUUGCAUUUUGUUCAUGUCAUGCAUCUCAUCUCAUAGCAUCAUGUGCAUUGCAUCUGCAUGUUUUCAUAAAGCUUGUAUCCGCUCGUAGUUGCCGCUCCUCGCUUCCCUCCGUUGCGUUCGUUGACCCUUUCGAGACCAACCCUAAAACCUAGGGAGCCUGUUCGGUCGCGCCGCCGCCGCCUCCCACCUCAGGAUCCCUCCAAAUCCCAUCUGCCCAAUCCUCUCGCGCAGCCACUUCCAACCAACCAACCUGUGUAGCCCCCAUCGUCGAUCUGGACCGUCCAAUCCAAAUCGAAUGGCCCUCAUCGUCCCAGUUCAUCCCACCGAGGCCCUGGAUCCAGCUGCCCUGCAAGGCCCGGGCGCCUCGUUCCCUCCUUCCGCGCCUCGAUCCAAUAUGGAUCGGAAGCAGCACCGCCCCGCGCCAGCCUCUGGAGCACCGUCUGCCCCGGCAACCUCGACGUUGAGCUCUAGAAGGAACUACUUCAUGCGCCCCUGUGCCCGCGAGCGUAUGAGGCUGUGCCCUCCUCCUCGUCCAGCCUUCCACCUCGCCGGACCAGCAGAUGAGCCUCGCACCACCCCGUCGUGCCACCUCUUUCUUCCGUUUCCUCCCUGCGUUUCCUCCCUCUCAUCUCUCUCUGAUCUCUCUUUCUAUGUCGACAGGAGCACCCCCGCGCCAUGGCCUCGCUGAGCUCUGCCCGCACCAGCGCCUCAAGCCGCCACCGUCCGCUCCAGAUUUGGCCCAGUCCUGUUCCGGCCGGCCCCUGCUGACGCCGUCCUCGACCGGAUCCCCGUCGCCUGACACCGCCAAGUCCCGCUCCUGCCUCUGUUCGAGAGGAGGAGGCUGCAGUCGCACAGGCACGUUGACCGCUUCUCUCCUUUCGCUCGUCUCGUGUCACCAGCCACGUCCCCACGCGGCACAGUCUGACCCGGCCUACCUCUCCAACGCCUGGGCUUGGCCCAUGGUGAGGCCACCCCACCGAUGCCCCUCUAUUUUUUCCUCCUGUUGGGCCAGCAGUUUCGGUCCGUAUAGUUUUUUUAGGUUCUACGAAUUUGUCUAUUUAUCCAGGUUUUACAGCUUUACAGAAGACCCCCUAUUGUUCAUGCAUAUAAUAACUCCCCAACCCUGCACCAUAUGUAAAUAGUUUAUAUAUGUAAAAUGCUUAGAAUUUCAUCUAGUUUCAUAAUAUGCUGCUUUCAUACAUGUUUAAAAUGUUUAACUUGCUGUUUGCAUUAAAUUUGCUAAAUACCAUGUUAAAAUGAUUUAUUUCAUAACUAAAUAACCGUAGCUCCAAAUUAAACAAACUUUAUAUGUAAAUGGGGUGGGAAAUGCAUAGAUUAACUUGGUGCACUUUGUUUUAUUGAUUAACAACUUUAAAAUAUGUUUUAGGGCAGAACAGUACAAAAUUGGAAUAUUGCUCAUGAGGAUUUUCCGGAAUUGUUGUUUGUUAUUUCCAGCCUCAUUUAAAUUGCCUAGCUAGGUAGUUUUAUUAUGCUUCAUCUCUUGCCAUGUUAAUUAACAUUUAAUAUUUGUUGAGAGCGAACUAGAUAACUCUAAUGUGGUGUUUCAUCAAUAUGCAACUCGUUGCGUAUUGAGCUCCACUUAAUUUGUAGUGUUGUUUGUUGCACUUUUCCAUGCCAUGCCUCUUUAAACCGGACAUGCAUCAUACUUGGUUGCGCACGUGCCAUGCUUAUGUGAUGGUUGUUUACCAUGUUGUUUGCUUCUUUCCGGUUGUGCUUCUUCUCGAUAGUUCCGGUUACAUUAAGAUUGUGAGGAUUCGUUCGACUANNNNNNNNNNNNNNNNNNNNNNNNNNNNNNNNNNNNNNNNNNNNNNNNNNNNNNNNNNNNNNNNNNNNNNNNNNNNNNNNNNNNNNNNNNNNNNNNNNNNUUACGCUAUACCUAAGUUGGCCAAUAUGUCUGCAGUGCCUGCUGUACUAUCGUAAAGAAAUGCAUGCCUAGUUCAUUUGAGUCCUUAACUUUUCCUCUGAACUUCAUCACAAGACUGUAUUGAUAGUUUAUAUGAGUCCACACUGUUAAGUGCUUUCUCAGAUUAUUCCAACUGCUUAGAUGCCUUGGCAACUUAAAUAUAGCGGUGGUACACUCCCUUUCAACUAGGGAUGUCAACUGGGUCCUGUUUAAUCCUGAUUAAAGUCCACUAGUGGUAUGAUAGUUCAAUAGAGUUUUUGUUUUUUGAGGAAAAUGAACUAGGGAGCUAGUAAAAACUAACUAGAUGGGACUGGCGGAUGUGGUUUAUUUUCCACUUACAUCCCUAGUUUCAUCUUACCAUUUUAAUUUCUUUUCAUCCGAUGCUGCUUCGAACCAUUUAAAUAUAGCUUGUCAUGCUCGGCAAUAAUUCAUAUGUCGUUUACCAUGUAAGCUUACUGCCUGGAUCAUGCGAUAACUAUCUCUUACUUAUGUCUAGCUGAAACCUUUCAGGAUGCCGUGCACACUAGGACACAAUAUACAACCCCAGAAUCUAUUUGUGGAAGCAGUGCACCAUCCAUAUUACCAGAUGGUAGCAGUUCAGAGGCAACACUACUGGAGAGCAGUUUGAGCACAGAUAUUAUAGUUCCUGAGGCUCUACUAGAGGCAGAAAGAGAUGGUGUGGGUGCCAUGAAUGAGGUAAUCUUGAUCUUGAGGCUAGAAAUUAUGCAAUUAGCGGAACGCAUUAUGCAAGCAACCCAAGAAUUGGAGGAAGUAAGAAUGUUUCAUUUGAGGACGGAGGAGGUCCUGCUGUUUCUGCUAUCUGAAGCCUAGGGUAAUCCUGGUUCUUCUUUAGAUACCAGUUGAAAUUGUCAUUAGAUUAUUGUACUUGCAUGUUGUGUCAUGUCUCUGAAUGGAAUAUGUUGUAAGACCCCCUAUGUUCUCCAUGUGUUGUAGUGAUCCGAAUUUUUUAGGCGAGGUAAUCUCAGUACUUGUAUGAUUGACAUAAGGUGAAUUGUUUUUCGUGUGAGCAUAUUGUAUUGGAUGAAAUAACUGUUUGACUCAAAGUGUGUCCAACCUACUGAAUUCAAAGAUCAUGGCAUUUCUAAAUCAUAAUCGUAUAUAAAGGUGGAAUAAAUCUUUGUUGUGGUUUUGAAGAAAUAAAUAACAAAACUUAGAAUUAUCUGUGGAUAUUCGUACUCAAAUACAAAUUGGAUUUGAAUUUAGUUGCAAGGGCCCAGGGCAAACGUGAAUGCUAAUCUUCCCAAGUUUUGAACGAAGCAGCUACACACCCACUAUAAUUUGUGGGCUGCCCGAAGCAAGUGUUUGCGAGAUGGAAAUUACUAUCUACCCCUGAAACUUGACAUCCUUAUCGGCCGGAUUUACACUGUUGUCGAUAGGGGUAGACUAGUAACUUCAAUCAGACGUGACACGACGGCCUCUGAGACCAUUCAGACAUGGUGGGCGCCAAACAUGGUUGGCAAAACACAUUUGAUUCAAGCUCUUCCGAAAGACAUGUGUCUCUCCCUCAUUUGCCCAUUCAUACAUGGUGGGCGGCAAAAGAAACUCUCCUUGUCCGAAAACGAUGUAGGCUAAUAUUUUUAAUAGGGGCAGAUGUGUAACUUCCCUUAGACCUGACACAACCGCCCUACCUGUUAGCCCCAUUCAUAUACUGUGGGCGCCAACCGUGGGCGGCAAAACACCCUCUCCUCGCCCGAAAUCAUUACUGGCAAAUAUUUGGGAGAUGUGAGAUUACCGUCCUAUCCCCAACUGACGUGAUGUUUGAAAUUUUAAACGAGGGAUAAGUUCGUAACUUUCCGACAUUUCAGACAAGCGCGUUCCAAAGUUGAGACCCCCCCUCCCCCUCCAUUUCCCCAUUCAUACACCAUCGACGCCACGACAACCUCCCCACUGCGGCUAGCCUCCUCCGUCCGCCACCCCAUCCUCUACCUUGCCAAAGCUGCUACCCCUACCCUGUCGUCCANNNNNNNNNNNNNNNNNNNNNNNNNNNNNNNNNNNNNNNNNNNNNNNNNNNNNNNNNNNNNNNNNNNNNNNNNNNNNNNNNNNNNNNNNNNNNNNNNNNNCCCCAUAAAAAAAUAAACAUAUAUAUAUAAAAAAAGAGAGGCCAAACAAGCCUAAAUGAAAAAGGGGCCAAAGAAGCCCGCAAAAAAAUAAAAAAAGGGGGCAAUGUUACUAUCCUUUUACCACACUUGUGCUUCAAAGUGGCACCAUGUUCUUCAUAUAGAGAGUCUCUUGAGUUAUCACUUUCAUAUACUAGCGGGAAUUUUCAUUAUAGAACUUGGCUUGUAUAUUCCGAUGAUGGGCUUCCUCAAAUGCCCGAGGUCUUCAUGAGCAAGCAAGUUGGAUGCACACCCACUUAGUUUCAUUUUGAGCUUUCAUACACUUAGCUCUUAGUGCAUCCAUUGCAUGGAAAUCCAUACUCCUCGCAUUGAAAUCAAUUGAUGGGCAUCUCCAUAGCCCGUUGAUUAGCCGCGUUGAUGUGAGACUUGCUCCCCUUUUGUCUUCUCCACACAACCUCCACCAUCAUACUCUAUUCCACCUAUAGUGCUAUAUCCAUGGCUCACGCUCAUGUAUUGCGUGAAAGUUGAAAAGGUUUGAGAACGUCAAAAGUAUGAAACAAUUUCUUGGCUUGUCAUCGGGGUUGUGCAUGAUUUGAAUAUUUUGUGUGAUGAAGAUGGAGCAUAGACAUACUAUAUGAUUUUGUAGGGAUAACUUUCUUUCUCAUGUUGUUUUGAAAAGACAUGAUUGCUUCAAUAGUAUGCUCGAAGUAUUAUUGUUCUUAUGUCAAAUGAUAGACUAUUACUUUGAAUGACUCGUGUUUUAAUAUUCAUGCCAUCGUUAGACAUAUGAUCAAGAUUAUGCUAGGUAGCAUUCCACAUCAGAAAUUAUCUUUUUUAUCAUUUACCUACUCGAGGACGAGCAGGAAUUAAGCUUGGGGAUGCUGAUAUGUCUCCAUCGUAUCUACAAUUUUUGAUUGUUCCAUGCCAAUAUUAUUCAACUUUCAUAUACUUUUGGCAACUUUCAUAUACUUUUGGCAACUCCUACUCAUACUAGUGGGUUUCAUCUAUUUACUGUGGCAAUGACAGGUCAUGCAGAGGAUAAAGGGGUUCAGCUACCGCAGCAAGUAACAAAUGACUCGUUGUUGUCCUAAUGCAGUAAAAGAGAGCAGGGCGAGAGAGUAGGAUUGUAUCGGAAUGAACAAGGGGGUUUUGCUUGUGUGGCACUUCUGAAGAUAGCAUUGAGUCUUCAUCAGUGUCAACGAUCACAACGUCGGAACAUCGUCUACCGAGAGGGGACAGAUACCGGCAACAGAUAAGAAAUACAAUCAAUGCAAUGCACAAUAUGAUGCAUGCUCAUGACAUGGCAAUAUGAGUGUGUUGGCCUAAUGCAACUACAACCAGAUGGAUUUGGGUCAUAUUGAGCCAAAGGUUCAAUCCCAAAUUCAAUUUAUGAAUUCAAAUAGCGCCUUAUCAUAUUUUUCCCUAAACAGCAAGGUUAAGUUGUUUAAACAUGCAUGAAACUAGUGCAGAUGGAUAGAUUGGAUUUUUUUGAUCAUUUUUCAUAUAUAAUUUAUUUCAUUUGGAGUUACGGUUGAAUUUCUAUGAUUUUUAGAAGUUUAUACUAUUUUCUGGAAUUUCCUGAUUUAUUUUUAAUCCAGAAAGUCACUUAUUGAGCCAGCAUUGUGUCAUGCUUGGGUCAGCAAGUCAACAGCGCUGACCAGGUCAAACCUGACCAGUGGGGUCCACUGGUCAAUCUCCUAGGGCUGCGUUGGUCACUGACGUGUGGGUCCCGCUUGGUUUAAAAUAAAACUGAACAGAAAUUAAACUGGUGUUAGUUAAGGGCGUGGGGCCCAGUAGUCAGUGAGAGAGGAAGUUAGUUAGCCUCGUCAUUAGCAGUUAACGACGUUGCCAUGUCGGCUUGCCGGCGUUCAGCCGGCGACGACCAAAACUACGGCGGGAGCUCGCCGGAGUGGCGCUGCGAGCAGUUUUGGGCCAAGCCAAGGGCACCAGAGGGUUGCCCUUGCUCGCGCGCAUCCAANNNNNNNNNNNNNNNNNNNNNNNNNNNNNNNNNNNNNNNNNNNNNNNNNNNNNNNNNNNNNNNNNNNNNNNNNNNNNNNNNNNNNNNNNNNNNNNNNNNNAUAUAUAUAUAUAUAUAUAUAUAUAUAUCAUCGAAUGACUCACAACCAACACCAUUAAUUAUUCACACAUACACAUGUAUAUACAUAUACAAUUUCUCCUACAUAUGUUGCCUUGGUGCCUCCGGAGCACGAUGACAAGUGGUUCAUGGGGGCGGUAGCAGGUAAUAGUAUUCUCCUUUGGGAUCUAUGACCCGGUCGAGCAAAAAUCCGGCUAUUUCCUCUUGAAGUGCUAGUAUGCGGUCCGAUGGUAGGAGCUUAUCCCGCACCUCUCUGAACUGUUAAGAAGGAGAUCAAUAUGCAUGUGUGUUAGUUGUGUGACUAGAUAUCGAUAAUGGUGUGAAUAGUGUUCUAACAAACGUACCCAGUCCUGUUUAUCAUAUCUUCUCCUUUCGCAUGUCAUCAUACGAAUGUUCUCGCAAAGGUAGAAUGCACACAGAUUAUUCCCCGGCGCCUGCUUUAGGGCCUUUACGAGAAUGGAAUUGAAUCAGAUAAUGAUUAAUCAAGCAUGAUAAUUAAUUAAUGAUAUUGAAACAAGAAUUAAAGAGAUGGUAGCUAGCUAGUACUACUUAAUUACUUACCUUUGGUCGAUGCCAAAACAACUUUUUUGCCCACUUGCCUGGAGUCACCUUGAUGAACUUUGCCCAUGCCCUGCCCGCUGGGAAAGAAAAUUAAUAAAGGGGUUAUUAAAUAGUUCAUAUCAGAAAAUGACGAACUAAUAAUAGGACGAGAUAUAGUUAAUAAUGAUUGAAAUUACCUGUUGACUAUCCCCUUUGCGAUGGUGAAGUCUUUAUCAGCUUUAGUUAGUUAGUCCAGUAAUUCAACUUUUCCUUCGUCAAAUUUAAUGUCUAACAAGACCCAGUGCCAACUGCGUGCGCACACGUUUGCAUGUCUUAAUUAAGCGGGCAUGUGCAUAAAAUUAAUCAACUACCGUAAACCAUAUACACUUAAUUAUUAACAUCUAGCUAGCUAGUAAGCAAAAACAGAAUUUGUAGUACAAGAUAGUGUGACUCAGGGAAGUUGUAAGGAAGUAGUAUAUCUUCAUUGGUAUUGAGGCGCUUCAAGAACUCUAGCAUGCUUUCCUCUACACCUCCUUGAUAAUAUGAAAUCUGCCAUAUGUACUCAUUAAUGGUAUUUGGGUCAAUGAACCCAAUGCCAUAGCGUCCAGAUUUUUUCAUUUCAUACAUCUUCAUCCUGCAUAUAAUACCAUAGAAAAAGAAUAUAGUGAGGAUAAUUACAUGUAAUGAUUGAUCAAAAUUAUCACUACAUAACUAGCUUCAGACUUAAAUUACAAAAAGAAAUCACUUACAGACCAUAGCAACUGACGAUAGACUUGUCGAGUUCGUCUUGAUUGUAUAACUGAAAUAGUUCUGGAUACUCAAUGGCCAGAGCUUUCUCAUGGUAAUAAUGCUCAUGCUUGACAUUCACCAUGAGGGACUCUUGAUUGGAAAUCUUGGUAAUGUUCAUGUACCAUCGAUGCAAUUCAUACAUUCUCGUUGGGAGGUCCUUGACCUUGUCUGGAUGGACCAAAGGUUGGCCCCAGACAUAUUUCCAUUUUAUUUCCGAUUCUCUAAGAGGAGGCAUGGGCUCGAUUUCGAGGAGUUGUCCAACAGAGAUAUUGAGCAUUUUAGCCUACAUUAUAUGCUCCUCCGUUAUUACCACAUUGCCCUGCCGGGGAACGCUAACAGUUUGCCCACAAUAAUAUUUUGCGCGCGUACUCCUCUCAUGUGUUGUUGGCACAACAAGCGGGGGGAUCACUUGCGCCGCCUGUUCUCCCAACUGGGGAAUGGUUUUCUCGCAUUUUUUGCCAGCUGCUUGUUGGCUCGAGCUCGAGCUCCCUUCCUUCUUUAGCCGUUCUCGAUGUAGUUUCCUGAUUUGGCGCUCAUAGUCCGAGUCAACAGGCUUGGGAGCUGGUUCUCUAGCCAUAUGAAUGAAGUGGUAAAUUACUUUCUCAGGCACUUUCUCCUUUGGCGGCNNNNNNNNNNNNNNNNNNNNNNNNNNNNNNNNNNNNNNNNNNNNNNNNNNNNNNNNNNNNNNNNNNNNNNNNNNNNNNNNNNNNNNNNNNNNNNNNNNNNGAUCCAUGAGGACCUGUGCACCUCCCUGGAGCUAUUCAAUUUGGCGACCAAGUGCGCUAGGGCUAAGGAAGGGCGCCUUUCCCUCCUUGAGCUGCCAGCUGUCGACCCAGAAGAGAAGAAGCCCAAGGUCAAGGACGUGAAGUGCAAGGGGGCUGCCGUGCUUGCAGCAGAGCCGGACACCAAGCGAGGCAGGGAUCCGCCUGAGUCAUCCAAGGGCAGCCGGUACUGCGUGUACCACGACCUCCAAACCCACAACACCAACGAAUGCCAAGAGCUCAGUGCCGUGCGGUACGUGCGUGCUGGCCGACGCCCCGAGCGCAGCAACCGGGGCUAUGGCCGAGGAGGAGGAAGAGGUGGAGGACGAUGGGAAGACCGUGGACCUCGCCAAGGGUGGCGUGACCGACCUCGCGAGGACCGUUGGCAGGACCAGCCUCGUGAGGGAAGUUGGAGGGACCCGCCUCACGAGGGAGGUUGGAGGGACCAGCCUCGCGAGGAUCACCCACAAGGCAAUGCGGGCCUCCCUCCUCUACCACCACAGCUGAGGAGGAAUGAAGACCAUCAUCAGGACGAGGGGGCUGGAGGCUUCCAGGAGCCGCGCGCAAUCGCUUGCAUCUUGGGCGGCGCUCAAGCCCCGGCCUCUCAGCGCAUCUUCAAGCAGUUUGCUUGCGAAGUGAAUGCAGUCCUCCCCAAGCUUGAGGCCACAUGCCCUCUCAGGUGGUCAGCGUGCGCCAUCACGUUCAGCUCAGCGGAUCAGCUCAAGUGCGCGGCCACAACCGGAGUCCUCCCGAUGCUUUGUUCCCCAAUCAUCAACAAUGUGCAAGUCACCAGGACCCUCAUCGAUGGCGGAGCAGGGCUCAAUGUCCUAUCCGUCGAGACGUUCAACAAUCUCCAAGUGCCAUACAAUCAGCUGCAGCCAACCAAGCCUUUCUCAGGAGUCACUGAUGGUUCCACGGUUCCGAUAGGGCAGGUCCGCCUUCCUGUUACCUUCGGGAAGCGCGACAACUACCGCACCGAGCUCAUUGACUUCGACGUCGCUCACAUUCGCCUGCCGUACAAUGCCAUCCUCGGGUACCCAGCCCUGGCCAAGUUCAUGGCCGUGACUCAUCACGACUACAAUGUCCUCAAGAUGCCAGGAAGCAGUGGAGUCAUCAUGGUGCCUUGUGAAGAGAGAGACGCCGUGUGUUCUCUGGAACGUGCUUUCCAAGCCGCGUCAAUUGAAGACCCAGAUCACAGGAGCGGGAUGUAACGCCCCGGAUUCGACGUGCUAGGUGUCUGCCAGUUAUUCGUCAUUGUUGCCAUGUCAUUUGCUUGCGUGUUGCAUUUUAUCAUGUUAUCAUGUGCUUCUCAUUUUGCAUACGUGUUCGUUUCUUGCAUCCGAGCAUUUUCCCCGUUGUCCGUUUUGCAAUCCGGCUCUCCUAUGUCCUCCGACGUCCCCCCUUUUGUCUCUCAUUGUGAGCGGGUGUUAAAGUUUCUCGAAAUGGCCGAGGUUUGCCAAGCGGCCUUGGUAUAGCACCGGUAAACCUCCUGUCAAGUUUCGUGCCAUUUGGAGUUCGUUUGAUACUCCAACGGUUAACCGCGUAGCCCGAAACCCCCUUUCUCUUUGCAGCCCAACACCCUUCCAAACUGGCUCAAAACCCAUCUAACUCCCCUCCAUGCUCUCGGUCAUUCGAUCACGAUCGUGUGGGCGAAAACCGCUCCUCAUUUGGACUCUCCUAGCUCCAUCUACCUACAAAUAUGUGAUCCCCUCCGAUUUUUCGCGCAGUCCAACCCUAGCCCUCUCCCUCUCAGCCGCCGGACAUGUCCGCGUCACGCCGGACAUGUCCGCCGCUCGCAGCCACCUCACUCUGGCCACUCCCAAGCCGCCACGUCACCCCGCCGCCGCUCCCCUCCACUCGCGUCCUGCCACAUGGCGUCCCCGCGCCCGCCUCGCCGCCGGCCCGCGGAGCCCAUCGCGGNNNNNNNNNNNNNNNNNNNNNNNNNNNNNNNNNNNNNNNNNNNNNNNNNNNNNNNNNNNNNNNNNNNNNNNNNNNNNNNNNNNNNNNNNNNNNNNNNNNNCCCAGGCCCGCGCGUGCCCGUGCCCUGUUUUGGGCCUGGCCCAACAGCGCUCGGCACCAUGUAUGGCCCAGGCCCGGGGACUCCUGUCGCUGUACUAGAGUAGGGGUACCCUAGUAUCCCGAACUUGUGCACGGGCAGUUGCAGCGCCGCACGGCAAGGCUUGCCGGGUGACCGCCAAGACCCUCCGUGGAUCCCUUGAAGACCAAGGCCCCGGCAAGAGGAGCUUGCCGGGAAGGCCAACCAAGGCCCCGGCAAGAGGAGUUUGCCGAGAAGGCCAACCCAGGCCCCGGCAAAAGGAUCUUGCCGGGAAGAGACAAGACCCCGGCAAGAGGAGCUUGCCAGGAAGGCCACUCAAGGCAUACCAAGAAAGCUUGUCACGACGCGCGCGCGUCCCGGCAAGGCCCGGUGAGCGACAAGCUCCCAAACAUGGCAAGACGACGACCCCGACAAGGUACUCGCCGGGGGCCCGCUGCCACUCUGUACCCACGCUCCAGCACACCCACCCGCGUGUCGCCAUGAGGCUUCCUCAGGGACGCGUGGCGGGAGCCUGUGCAGCCAGGGGUACGCGGUGGCAAGCGGAGAUGAAGAGAAGGCAAUCGUGGCAAACGGUGGCGCUCCUAACGGUCACUUUUUGCACUGUUUAGGCAGCUCAGACGGGCAUUCAAUGACCUUGUCCCCUGCCAUCAGAGUUAGGUAGGGUGCACUGUGUCCACAGUAGCGGUAGCUGCACCUACCGCAUCCUUUUCCAUUUUUACCCUUCUAGUCUACGUUGCCACCUGUCGGUGACCCCUUGAAAGUAUAAAAGGAGGCCCAAGUGCAACGUAGAGGGGGUUCAGCUCAUUCGAAACACCAGGAACACUCUCACGCUCGGUCUGGCAGCGCCCAUCGCUCCUGAGCAAGAAUUCAAUACACACAAACAAGCAGCAGUAGGGUUUUACGCAUCCGUGCGGCCCGAAGCUGGGUAAAAACUGCUCGCGUGUAUUGCCUCGAUCCGCUCUUUGUGCGCUCUCCGCCUCCCACCGAACCGAAAGGGGCCCGGUCCCCAUAGGUGUUGGUGGAUCAGUUUCCCCCGACAAUGCGAUACCUUCUAGAUGUUGGAACUGCCAUCGGCUAUCAUGGUUGCGUCUGUAUAACUUUACAAACAACCUCCAUCUGCAUACAUACGAAGAAUUAGAACUACCUAUCAUGUUCUGUCGCUACAUCAUGCUUUGCUUGUACUAAAUUCCAAACCUUGCCUAAAUAUCGCAGACCAACACAAAUCAAUAUUUUUUUACAAAUCUAAACAAGUCCUUGAAAAUAUAAUUACUAACCAAAGCAAUCUUUGAGGUAUUCAAAAUAUUGUCAAACGAUAUCAUGCAAUGAUAGAAACAAAUUACAAGGUAUUCAAACUAAAAUCAAAAGAUUCUGCAGUGUAUGACAGCCCUAUGCCUUUUCUUGCUUCUUAUUCAAGGACGCGUCACAAAUAGAAGAAGGCUAUAGAGUACAGACUGAAGAAUGUAGACUUAGGCGACACAAAUAGUAUAUGAACUAUGACAUUGUAACUUUUUUAUUUCAAAAUUAACUUUUGACUUGGUAUUUUGCAGCUGGGAGAUAGACACAUAUGACUACCAUCGAAUAUUCUGCUCACCAAAAGAAAAGGGAAAUAAAUAAAUGCAUGGUUCAUCAACAAAACUGAACAGUUACCUACAUAUAUAAGAGGCCAUAUGGAAAUAGACUACAUUAAGGAAAUUGGGGCAUUAAGGAACCAUGAUAAACAUCAUGUGAGUCGUCAAAUUUACUUACUAUAUUUUCAGUUUGAUUGAUGAUGUUAGCAUAAUGUAGUGGCAGACCACAUGAACCUAGCCUUUUGUUGUGACCUUGCUCCAUGAAGUCGGUACCUAUAGGAACUGUUUAUUCAGGGAGAUGUAUCAGGAAAUUAUCAGAUGCAUUUUUGUCCAAACA